rnacentral:lncRNA from 1 species
UGAAGUGAUAUUCAAUGAAGUAAGCUGGGUUCCUUGUGGUAUAAGACCUGUGAGAUUGUUGUGAGACACAUUGAAAUUGGCAAGAAAAGUAAGUCGACUCAGUUGUUGGGGGAUCUGUCCUGAGAGCUUGUUUUGUGAAAGGUCCAACGAUUCAAGCUUCGUCAAGUUUCUGAAGGAUGAUGGAAUAGAACCAGUGAGAAUGUUGUGGGAUAGAUUCAGCGAACGAAGCUCCUUAAGGUUCCCAAUGAAUUCUGGAAUUUUCCCUUCAAAUUUGUUGCUUGAGAUAUCAAGGGAUGCAAAUUCUUCUCGGAUCUUUGGGUAGUAUUGCUCCAAACCUUUUGUUGCUAUUGUGAGUUGGUAAUCAACAUUGCUCCAAACCGGGAAUCCAUCGACAUCAUAAACUACACGUGUGUACAUAUAUGUUGACUUGUUUACAGUAAUAUCUAGAAACACAGAUGGAACCGCUCCAGUAAAAUCAUUGUAAGCCAAAUCAAGAAUGCGUAACUUCGGGAAAUCGACAUUCUUUCUAGAUUUUCCAAUCACACCGUAGAAUCCAUUAUGGCGCAUUGCCAAAAGUUUUAACUCUAGAAGAGUUCCCAACCAAAUGGGAAAAACAUCAUUGAAACGAUUGUUUGACAAAACAAGAUACUCAAGCAUCACACAAUUGGCCAAUGACCUCGGCAACUGCCCCUGCAACUUGUUAUGACUCACAUCAAUCAUUCUCAAACUGCUUCCUUUGUUGUAUGUCUGAGGAAUAAUUCCGUGAAAAGCGUUGUUUCCGAGAAGUAGAAGUGUCAGAUGAUCACUAAAGUUUCCAAGACACUGAGAAAGCAUGCCACUCAAGUUAUUUUUCGACAAGUCAAGGGACAGAAGAUUUUUCAUAUUGCAAAGCAACGGUGAGAUUUCUCCAGUAAAGUUGUUGUCUGCAGCUGCAUAUUCUCGCAUGGUUGGUGGAGGUAUCGGUAGUGAUCCAUGAAACAUGUUGGACGAAAACCUUAGACACAACAGUUUCACCCAAGGAAGGACAAGUGGAGGUUGGUCUGAAAUGAAGUUAUUGGAAAUGUCUAACAAUAGCAAAGUUUCUAAGCUUGUAUUCCACAUCCAUCUUGGUACUUGGCCUCGGAUUUUGUUUCCAGCAAUUUCCAAACGCGUCAACCCAUUCUGAUAUUGUAAGAAGGAUGGAAACUCUCCUAAGUUGCAAUUACUCAAUCCAAGAACGGUGAACUGUUUAACUGUUGAAUUCAAAAUUCUGGAUUCAGUGACAAGUUCUAAACCGUUCCAGCUUAAUUCGAGUUGGUAAAGAGAUUGUAGAUUUUGAAACAUUUGAAACUCUACUGCACCAGUCAGAGUAUUCGAAUGUAGAUACAGGAUCUGAAGGUUUGUGAGAUUUGAAAAUGACGCAGGAACUGAACCAUUUAAUCUAUUAAAAGCAAAAUCUAGGUACUCUAGUUUGCUAAAGUUGCCUAGCCAAGAUGGGAUUGGACCGGUUAAUCGACUUGUACUAAUCCUAAAAGUAGCCAGUUGGGUAAGGUUUGCCAAGGAAUCCGGAAUUAGACCUCCAAAUUUAUUGGCUGAAAUGUCUAGAUAAGUGAGCUGCCUAAGAUUCCCAAGAAAAGAUGGAAUCAAGGUUUUGAAUUGAAGAGGGUAUUGUUCCAAAAAAGCCAGUAAAGCCGACUUUCAGUAAGAUGAGAGGACUUCUUUGAUUAAAUUCAGGAAAAUAUCCAGUCAGAUCUUGGUUGUAUCUCACACUAAGAGAUUCUAGGUUUGGCAGUUGGAAAAUUCUCACUGGAAAUUCACCAAACAGGUGACAGUCCCUGAGGUAGAGGGUUGUCAAAGAUGAUAAAUUAGCCAUGGAAUGAGGAAUUGCCGAAGAUACAUUUACAAAACUGAGAGAAAGUACUUCGAGACUGGUUAAGUUUUGAACUAGGCUUCCAAGAUCUGAUGCUUCAAGUUUCAACAAGGGAUAAUUCCUCUCUUCUGACGACUGAUGAUCCUUAUCUUCUGACAAUCUAUCGAGAUUGAGAGAUAGAUCAAGGUAUGUCAACUUGGAUAACAGUGAAAGUUCAGAAGGGACUUGACCAGAAAAGACAGAGGUAGAGAGGUCAAGAUGAGUAAGGCUUGGAAAAUUCCUAAUGCUAGUAGGAAUUUGAGAGUAAUUGAAGUUAUUGUCAGAGAGGUUUAACCUUUGAAGAUGAACAAGGCGGAAGAGGCUGCUGUUGCUGUUGAUAGAGCCGUGGAGACAGCUGCUACCAAGAUCUAGGCCAAUCACAUGACCCGUCUUCUCGUCACACUUGACACCUUCCCAUGAGCAGGUGCUAUUUCCUCCUUCAGCUGGUUUCCAUGAUGAAACCUUUGGAUAAGCAUCGGGAGAUCUAGAAGCAGAUUUGUCAAUAGUAAAGCUGUCUCUGAAUUGCAGCAGGGCGGACUUCUCCUCAUCAGGGCAAGAUGGAUACUGCUUCUGCGAAGAGUAGGAAGAGUAGGAAGAGUUAGCAAUAACCACAUGAUGAAACAGCAACAAAACUAGUACUGGUUUUGAAAUGCGAAUGGUGGAGAUAUCAAGAAACCCCAUGACGACAAUAUUUUGAUUUUUUUUUUUUUUCGUUUUGCACUCUUAGCUAUGUAUGGAGUGGAAAGUGACACAACUAUUUAUAGACUGGCAUCAGCAUAAAAUUCUUCCGCAAAUUAAUCUCUAAAAAGUGAUGGAGAUGGGUGUAAUGGGGACAAGUGCAUCGUAUCUUCUACAUGUGUAAAAGAUGCUCUUGACCAAUUUAUUCGUGAGUUAAUUUUUGAAGUCAAGUCUUCCAACUUUUGAGAUGGUGUGAAAUUAGAAGUUAGACAAAUGAGCAGCACCAUAAAAGAAAAAAAAAAUAUUUGCAUACACACAUAUAGUUUAUCGCAUGAGUUCCUCCUGUAAGGGUUUAUGGUAUUUGUAUUGACACUCUUGUAAGGUUUUAUCAUAUUUGUAUGCCCAAUUGCAAGACUUAUCAACUUUGUAUUUGGGUACUUCUAAAUGUGUUGGACCUUCAUGCUUGAAAUCUUCAUUAAAAUAUGUGUAAUUUGUAUUGGAAUACAAAAUUAAACAAAAAAAAAAUGUUAACAGGUGACUCAUGAGCUUAAUAGGUUGAGUUUGAGUGACUCAUUAGCUUAACGAGUCGAGUGUGGGUCACUCGUUAGCUUAAAUGUUCAGGUGAAACCCGACUCAAACCCAAUAAACCUAACUUGUUUAUAGGUUACCAGCAGAUAGUAAGGGGGAUGAAAGUUUCGAACUCUCAACAACAAAUUAAGACAUUAGAGUCAUUAAAUUCAAUUCCUGCAUUGGCUUGAAGUGGGAUGGAUUUGAAGCCAGAACUUUUCAUUCGAUAUCCAAUUUCUUCAUCAUUAGGACUUUCAAACUCCUAGCAUAUAUUAAGUCAAGAGUGCAGGUGUAACGAAAUUUUUCAUGUUGGAUUUGGUCUAUGUUGCAUUUUUCAAACCGCAAGCCCUUUUUUCAUCAGAAAAGAAAUAUCUCAUUAACUCAAGAGAAAGCAAGGAAGAGAGAUACUUCCACUUGGAGUUGAAGCCCCAAGCCCCAACCAUAGGAAAACUGCAGAAAAACGUAUUUGGCUCAAUUCUAAUUUUCAUUCAUUCUCAAAUGUACAAUAUAUAUUAAAUACAAAUAUAUAGAUUAUUUACAAAUGCACGCCAUUUGCUCUUGCGUGGUGCUAUCCACCCACCCAUUUUACCUGUCACACACCACUCCCAAUUUUCGGACGUCGGGUCAUGUGAAUGGUAGAAGAUCAAUGUACAAAAAUUAACAAGUGUGUGUAUGAAGUAAAAUGGGGUGUGUGAAUAGCAUUAGGAGAAAUUAGAUUCACAUCCUUCAUUUUCCUACUCCAUUGAUUAAAACCUUAUUCCUUUUCAAUUUUUGAUCAACGUCGUUGGAUAUUAAUAAUAUCAUUUAUUAUUUCAAUAAUAAUUUUUUUUAAAUAUAUUCCUUUAGUGUUAAAAAUGUUACAAUUAGUAUAUUUAUAUUUAUGGCUAAAUUUUUUAUCAUAUAUUUUUAUUUUUAGUUUGUAACCAUUUUUAAUUUGCAAACCUUUUUUAAUUUGUACCAAUUUUCUUUUCAGUUUUAAUUUGUACCCAUAUAUUAAUUUCUUUUUGUGCCCAUAUUUUUUAAAGUUUUAUUUGUAUUUGUGUCCAUGUAUUUACCGUCACGUGACAUUGUAUAAUUAAUCAAUAAUAGAAAAAUUACAUAUGAUAUAUUUAUGUUUUAUGGCUAAACUUUGUAUCAUAUAUUUAUAUUUUUAGUUUGUACCCACUUUUAAUUUGCAACCUUUUUUUUAAAUUUAUUGUAUUUUCUUUUUAGUUUUAAUUUGUACCCAUGUAUUUUUUUUUUGCACCCAUAUUUCUAAAAAUUUCAUUUGUACACAUAAUUUUUUUUAAUUUUUUAUCUGUACCCUAGAGGUCGCACUUGGUGCGAUGGCAAGUGCCUUCGCCCAUGAGCGGUAGGUCUCGGGUUCGAGACUUGGGAGCAGCCUCUCCAUAAAUGGGGACCCUGCGUAAAGCAGGAGCUUUGUGCACUGGGUACGACAUUUUUUUUUUAUCUGUUGUCACAGCCCGUCCCGGGAUUUUAUUCAUCGAGGACGUGAAAAGACGGAUUUACCCUUAGCGGGUAUUAAGGUAUGUGUGUGUAUGAUAUAUUAUUUGGACUAAAUAUACAUUCCUAAACUUUUGGAGGAAAUAAUUUAAGUUGGAUUAAAUUGGAUUGUAUUUUGUGUGGUUAGGGAUUAAAAUUAGUAUGUAUGGUUUUGGUUGGACCACACACCCAUUCAACCCUUCUCUCUCUCUUCCCCGUGCUUCUCUCUCUCUUCCUCUCCGUUCAGUCUCUCUCCCUCACUCUCGAACGUACGGACAAGCUAGGAACCUCCCAUUUCUUCACGGAUCGAAGGUUCUAAGGUAAGAUUUGAACACCUAGUAAGCUUGUGAGUUAGUAUAUGUGAUUUUUGGAACUUAAAACCCUCAGAAUCAUCGUGAAACCAUAACCCCGAAAAUGUGCACUGUUCAUGCACACGUAAAAUCUUGCAUUUCAGGCAAUUUCAAGCUCACAUUGAGCUUAAGGAGAUCCUCACGAGCUUCGGGGUACUUCGUUGGUAGAAUUUGGACGUCGGAGGAUCAAGAUCGGAGUUUUUCAAAAUUGGCCGGAUUAUCGUGCUUCCUCAGGUAAAAUCUAGUGGAUUUUGGACCUUGAAACUAGUCUAUUGUGAUUCUACAUGUUGAGGGCUUCAAAUUGAUAUAUUAUACGAAGAAAAUGGUUGAGAAACGAAGGAGAACGAAGCAUUUGAAAAUUCUCCGGUUUCGGCCACCGGAAAAACCAGUCCGGCGAGCUCGCGAGGAAGAAGGUGCGCAUGGGCGCGCGUGGACCCGUGCCUUCCCUGGCGCGUGGGGGCGCGUGCCACAUCAAAAAAUUAUUUUAAAAAUUUGUCGACGUCCGUGACGUCGAGUAGGUCAAUGUGGUAUAUUCAUAUACCCAAAUUGAGCACCGUAUGAGAAGUUAUUAAGAAUUGUUGGUUAGGUGCUUUAAAUAACGUUUUAUAGUUUUUGCAUUUAGGUGAAAAUAUGAAUUGACGAUCCGACCGUUGGAUCGUCACCAACUUUGAUGCGUUGUAAUACGUAAUAUUUGAGGAUUAUAGGAAUUUACGGAUUGAGAAUCCGUUUGCGGAUCUUCCGGAAUUGGAGUUGUAAGUCUAUAAUAUAGAAUGUUAACCGUCACUUGGUUUUGUUAAUUGACGGAGAUCUGACCGUUGGAUGGUAAGGAAAUUUUAGGAUGUUGUCCUAGAGAUAUAUUGUGGACCUCUAGAAGUUAUGGAUUUAAAAUCUGAGUGGCAGAUCUUCCGGAUCGAACUGCGUAGUGACGUAUUUUAUAUAAGUUAUAUAUUCUAUCGAUAUGAAUUCUGAGGUUGGAUUUGAUUAUUGUUUUAGGCGCCGAUUGUCAUGACGCCUUGGCGUAUUGUGCUAGGGAGUUGUAGGGCGAACUCCAGGUGAGUGGGCAGUUUUGAUUUCGUAUUACCUAUAUACAACUGUUUUUCCUAGAAAAUUCGUUUUUAUGAAAACUAUGAAUUAAAUUGCCAUGCAUGCAAUUGUUGAGAUAUCUAGUUUGAUAAUUGAUACUUAUAUAUGUGAAUUGACGCGUUGGACGCACAUGUGAGUUUUAUUAUUAUUCAGAUGAGUUAUUUUAUAUGUAUUGCAUUGAAAGCUCAUAACCUGCACCUAGGUGUUAGUGCUUAUAUUGUUAUUCACCACACCGCACGCUCGUCUUGGAUCCAAGUAGGUGGAUGUCGUACAGACCAUGUGAGGGUUCCGACAUGCUAGUCGUACAGAUCACUAGAUGUGAUUCCGACUAGUGGGUGACCUUAGUUAUGCGCGCUGAUGAUUGAUGAGAGAAGCACUAGAGCGUAAUUGUACACCUGUCAUCGUACAGACUACUAUAGGUAGUUCCGAGUGACGUGCAGAGUUAGGCCGUACAGGUCACUGUGGUGACUCCGGCUGAGUGGGAUGUUGAGCUUAGAAUCAGCCGUACAGGACCAUUGUAGGGUCUCCGGUUGAUUUAUUAUUUCACCUGAUUGAUAUUGAUGCAUUCUGAUUAUAAUUUGGGCAUGGCAUAUCAUUUCUGAGAUGUUAUGAUGAUGGAUAUAUGCUGAGUUAUGAUGUUGCGUAUAUAUAUAUAUAUAUAUAUAUGUUUAUAUACUAUUUUCUGGGAAAAUAUAUAUAUAUGUUUAUAUACUAUUUUCUGGGAAAGUAUACAGGUUUUACGGAGAGGGGUUAGAAAUGUUUUAAAUGAAAUGUUUUCAAAAAACUUUGUUUUACUGACCCACUCAAUUUUGUUUUGCGCCCCUCCAGGUUCUAGAUAGCAGAGCUUUGGUGGCCACGAGGAAUCCAACGGUGUUUUGACAGAAUUCACAAAAGUAGGACUCACCCUCGGGUGUUUCAUCUUAGUAAUUGUAUUUUUUUUAAGCUUCCGAACUGUGUAAAUGGUUACGUCACUCUCACGUGACGGCCAUCAUGCCCUCCUUCGGGAUGGGGUGUGUCAGUUGGUAUCAGAGCCUAGGUUGCAAUUCUGGACAUCUUGAGAAAUUCCUAGUGUCUUCUGUCAGAACGAUACCGCCUCGUAGCGAGCCACGUAGUUCGGAUGAACCUAAUUUCCCUGAUAUAGUAGUUUGGGGGGAAAUUAUUGCCAUUAUGAUUCAGUCUAUUAUCUAAAGGAACCUUUGAGACUGGUUAUAAGUUGAAUUUGAAUCCCUUUAGGGAUAUGAAGGACCUAAGGGAGCAGAUUGAUGGCUUAAUCAUUUGGGAAAAGGCGUUUCGGAUUAUGCAAAGUCAAGGGAAUAUUCCUCUCGACAGGUGGGUCGAGAUGACUACCUAGUUUUUUAGUGUUGAAUCUGCAUUCUGAUGGAGAUAGGAAUGUUAUCCGAUGAUAUCGGAAGGACAGCUGUUUGGAAGUUGUUUAAAGAAUUGUUUAGAAAAAGUUCAUUCCUCCGGCAUAUUGUGAUGGUAGUAAGCAAGAAUUUGCAAAUGUGAGACAAGGAAAAUGACGACGGAUGAAUAUUAUAGAAAGUUUACAGACUUGCCUUGUUUCCAUUCGGAUGUUGUUGUUAAUCCGGUCGUGGUGUUAUGUCGUGUUUGGCUGGAUAAUAAGAAGAAGUGGCGUUCUUUGGCGACCACUAUCCAAUGUACUAUUUACCAAGAAUUUACGAGAUGUUGUUGAGAAUUGAGGACUCUGAGAGCAUGAUCAGCGAGAGUAAAGAAGAAUAAGAAAAGAAUGGUAAUUAGAGGAAAUACGAUAAAGUUAAAGAUCCGUCAUAUCAAGGACAUCGAAAGACUCAGAGCUUCAAAAGAAGUGAAGUUAGAACUAAUUCUUCCAGCUUAGGUUUUAAUGCCACUGGUCAGAGGCGAAGUGAUAGAUUUACUGGUGAUCCCAGAUCUUAAAGACAAGGUGACUCGAGUAAGGGAAAUGUACCUUUGUGCCAUAGGUACAAUAUUAGACACUUUGGAGAGUGUGGGAAUCAGUGAAUGUGUUCAUGUGGACAGAUGGGACAUAGAGUUAUGAAUGGUCCCUAUAAUCAGUUGUUACCCAGCAGUCUUCCCUGACACCACAAUAUCGAUCCAGCAGGUUUAUGGACUUAAUAGUUUGGUCAGAUGGGUCAUGGGUACAGGGAUAUUUGAUGAGUUAUAAGUCCAGCCGUACAGGCCACAAGAGGUGGAUCCGAUAGACAUAUUAUUUGGAAAAUUGAUGAGUAAGUCGUAUAGGUCACUAUAGUUGACUCCGACUUAUGUGCUAGCAUGGAUAGUUAAGCUAGAGAAUCAGUCGUACAGGUCAUUCUAGCUGACUCCGGCUGAUAUAUUUCUUAUUAUGGACGAUGUUGCCAAAGAGAGUAAUGUUGGAGCACGAUCGAGGCGUAUUUAUGUAUUUCUAAGGAAGAACAAGAUGAUAAUAUUACACCUUUAGGAAUUGUUACUUACUUAUCGAGACAACAGUGAGUUAUUUGUAUUGCGGGCUGCAGACCAUAAUAUUUAUAACUUAUUUGUUGGAUUCGUUAAGCAAGUAAACAGGUAGGGCACUCUAUGUUGAUUUGGUUUAUUCAGGAUGCCUAAUGAUGGUGGAAGAUAUAGUUAUGCCAGUGAAUCUUAUUUCGUUGGACAUCGUGGAUUUGGAUGUGAAUUUAGGCACAUAUUAGUUGCGUUAUAAUCAUAACAAGAUAGAUUGCUACGGGAAACCCGUUACCUUCCACCAAUUUGGAUGACUAGAGGUUACUUUUGUGGGUAUGCAAAAUGGAUUGAGUUAGGCCGUUAUUUAUGCUGUGAGAGCAAAUAGAUUGUUAUCGAAAGGCUGCCAAGGAUACUUAGCUCAUAUGGUGAUAAAUGAUGUUGCUUCUAGUAGUUUGGGAGAUGUAAAGAUGGUUAGACAUUUUCUUGAUGUUUUCCCUGAGGAAUUACCUGGAUUGCCGUUAGGCGGAAUUAUGGAGUUCACUACUGAUUUGUCUCCAGGCACAAAAUUUAUGUUAAAGAUUGGUUCAUGAUGAGUUAAGGGAAUUGAAAAUUCGGUUACAGGAAUUGGUUGAUAAAGGUAUCAUUUAAAGUACAUCACGUGGGGGAGCACCAGUUUAUUGGUGAGGAAGAAAAUGGACAUUAAGCCUAUGUUUUAAUUAUAGGCAAUUGAAUCGGGUAAUGAUCAAGAACCGUUAUCCAUUGUUACGUAUUGAUGAUUUGUUGAUCAACUUAGAGGUCUGCGUAUUUCCUAAGAUUGACUUAAGGUCUGGUUGUUAUUGAUUGAAGAGUUAAUGAUAACGUUCCUAAGAUUGUGUUCAGGACUCGUUACGGUCAUUAUGAGUUUUAGUGAUGUUAUUCGGAUUGAUGGAUUCUCUUGCUGUUUUAUGAGUUUGAUGGAUGAAGUAUUCCAAGAAUGCAUUGACAAGUUUGUUAUUGUUUUCAUUGACGAUAUUCUGGUAUACUCUAAGCCUAGAGCAGAGCAUGUUAGAUAUUUUAAGUUGAUGUUACAAAGUUUGAGGGAACGUCGAUUGUAUGCUAAGUUUAGCAAAUGCCAAUGUUGGAUGAAUGAAGAAGCAUUUAUGAGAUAAGUUAUAUUUGCUAAAGGUAUUCAAGUGAAUUUUUAAAAGGUAGCGGAAAUUGAGAAUUUGGAACAACCACGAAUUGUGAUUGAGAUUCGAAGUUUUCUUAGUUUGGUAGGCUAUCGUGGACGGUUCGUGAAAGAUUUCCCAGUCAUUGCUUUGCCACUGACGAGAUUGACGAGAACAGAGGUUAAGUUUGAGUGGAUAAUAAUUGUGAGCAAGGGUUUCAAUAGUUGAAGUAUUUCCUCACUCAUACAAGUAUUUUAGCACUCCCAGAAGAUAGCGGUAAUUAUGAGGUCUUUAGUGAUGCUUCUUUUGGAUAAGUGUUAAUGCUGCAAGGUAGGGAGAUUGCCUAUGCUUCACGGCAAUUGAAACUUCAUGAAAUGAAUUACUCUACUCACAAUUUGGAGUUAGUAGCUAUCAUCUUUACUUGGAAGUUUGGAGACAUUACUUUUAUAGUGAAAAGUGUAAGAUUUUUACGAAUCAAAUGAGUCUCCAAUGUCUGCUUACUCGGGGGUAUUCUAAUCUUAGGCAACGAAGGUGGGUUGAGUUACUAAAUAAUUAUGAUUGCACGACCAGGGUGAUCGUGAAAUUGUUGCGACUGAUGCACUUGGUAGGAAGGCUCCAGUAAGAAUUAAUGCUUUGUAUGCUUGUUGUGUUUUCCCUUCUUGCGGAUUUAGGACCCUGGAGUGAAACUUAAGGUAAAAGUUGAGAAGAAGCUUUAUUGACUAAUUUUCAGGUUAGACCAAUUUUAGUUGAUUGUAUACUUGAUGCCCAGAAAUUUGACGAAGGAAUUCAAGAAUUAACCGAGGCAGAAUUGGAUGGUAUGUUUAUGCAAGAGAAUGGGACGUAUGUGCCAAAUUAUGUGGAAUUAAGAAAGCAAUUUUGACGAUGUACACUGUUAAGCUUUUUGGGUAUGUUGGUUACUUCUAAGUUUUGGAUAGCGUACAGGAAGCUUGGUUACCAAGUUACCUUAUAGUACAACUUAUCGCCCUCAAAUAGAUGGUUAAUCAGAGAGCACUAUCCAGACUUUGGAGGAUAUGCUGAGAUCUUCAGUAUUGCAGUUGGCGACACUUAGAUUAAGCGGUUGGAUUUGAAGGGAAUUGCCUACAUCUAUAGCGUUCGUUCGAGCAUGGGUAUGAGACCAUUUGAGGCACUUUUUGGUAAAGAUUGUAGUACACCUUUGUGUUGGACAGAAGUUGUCAAAAGAGUUCUUGCGGGCCCUGAGGUUAUGGAUGAGUCUACUUGGAAUGUUCGAGUGAUUAAUUUUAACUUGGAAAGCGGCCCAAGAUCGCCAGAAAAGUUUAACAUACAGACAUGCCACUGAUCGAGUGUACAAGGUAAGUGAUUGAGUAUUUAUGAAGUUAUCACCGUGGCGAGGUGUUGUUCGAUUUGGAAAGAAAGGUAAGUUGAGUCCUAGGUACACCGGACCUUAUCGGAUCACCGAGCGAGUCGGUGAAGAUGUUUACAGGCUUGAAUUGCCGUCAGAGCUGUCCAGUGUACAUAAUGUGUUUCACGUUUCGGUGCUUCGACAUUAUGUUACAAAUACGUCGCAUGUGAUCCCUCUGCAACCCUUAGAGUUUAACCCAGAUUUGUGUUAUGUGUUACGACGAGAGGGAGCCGGUGACGAUACUUGAUUGGAAAGGCAAGGUUCUAAGGAAUAAGACAGUGAGCUUGGUAAAAGUAUUGUGGAGGAACCACUCCGUGGAAGAAGCUACUUGGGAGACCGAAGAUCGGAUGAGAGAGAUGUACCCGAGGUUAUUUUAUGAGUAUUAAGUGGAUUGGUAGGUUGUAUGAAUUUCGAGGACGAAAUUCUAUAAGGGGGAAAGAUUGUCAUAGCCCGUCCCGGGAUUUUAUUCAUCGAGGACGUGAAAAGACAGAUUUACCCUUAGCGGGUAUUAAGGUAUGUGUGUGUAUGAUAUAUUAUUUGGACUAAAUAUACAUUCCUAAACUUUUGGAGGAAAUAAUUUAAGUUGGAUUAAAUUGGAUUGUAUUUUGUGUGGUUAGGGAUUAAAAUUAGUAUGUAUGGUUUUGGUUGGACCACACACCCAGUCAACCCUUCUCUCUCUCUUCCCCGUUGUUCUCUUCUCUCUUCUUCUCCUCUCUGUUCAGUCUCUCUCCCUCACUCUCGAACGUACGGACAAGCUAGGAACCUCCCAUUUCUUCACGGAUCGAAGGUUCUAAGGUAAGAUUUGAACUCCUAGUAAGCUUGUGAGUUAGUAUAUGUGAUUUUUGGAACUUAAAACCCUCAGAAUCAUUGUGAAACCAUAACCCCGAAAAUGUGCACUGUUCAUGCACACGUAAAAUCUUGCAUUGCAUUUCAGGGAAUUUCAAGCUCACAGUGAUGAGAUCUUAAGGAGCUUCGAGAGCUUCACGGGUUCGGGUACUUCGUUGGUAGAAUUUUGGACGUUGGAGGAGACCGAGAUCGGAGUUUUUCAAAAUUGGCCGGAUUAUCGUGCUUCCUCAGGUAAAAUCUAGUGGAUUUUGGACCUUGAAACUAGUCUAUUGUGAUUCUACAUGUUGAGGGCUUCAAAUUGAUACAUUAUACGAAGAAAAUGGUUGAGAAACGAAGGAGAACGAAGUAUUUGAAAAUUCCCUAGUUUUCCGGCCACCGGAAAAACCAGUCCGGCUAGCUCGCGAGGAAGAAGGUGCGCGUGGGCGCGCAUGGACCCGUGCCUUCCCUGGCGCGUGGGGGCGCGUGCCACAUCAAAAAAUUAUUUUAAAAAUUUGUCGACGUCCGUGACGUCGAGUAGGUCAAUGUGGUAUAUUCAUAUACCCAAAUUGAGCACCGUAUGAGAAGUUAUUAAGAAUUGUUGGUUAGGUGCUUUAAAUAACGUUUUAUAGUUUUCGCAUUUAGGUGAAAAUGUGAAUUGACGAUCUGACCGUUGGAUCGUCACCAAACUUUGAUGCGUUGUAAUACGUAAUAUUUGAGGAUUAUAGGAAUUUACGGAUUGAGAAUCCGAUUUGCGGAUCUUCCGGAAUUGGAGUUGUAAGUCCAUAAUAUAGAAUGUUAACCGUCACUUGGUUUUGUUAAUUGACGGAGAUCCGACCAUUGGAUGGUAAGGAAAUUUUAGGAUGUUAUCCUAGAGAUAUAUUGUGGACCUCUAGAAGUUAUGGAUUUAAAAUCUGAGUGGCAGAUCUUCCGGAUCGAACUGCGUAGUGACGUAUUUUAUAUAAGUUAUAUAUUCUAUCGAUAUGAAUUCUGAGGUUGGAUUUGAUUAUUGUUUUAGGCGCCGAUCGUCAUGACGCCUUGGCGUAUUGUGCUAGGGAGUUGUAGGGCGAACUCCAGGUGAGUGGGCAGUUUUGAUUUCGUAUUACCUAUAUACAACUGUUUUUCCCAGAAAAUGCGUUUUUAUGAAAACUAUGAAUUAAAUUGCCAUGCAUGCAAUUGUUGAGAUAUCUAGUUUGAUAAUUGAUACUUAUAUAUGUGAAUUGACGCGUUGGACGCACAUGUGAGUUUUAUUAUUAUUCAGAUGAGUUAUUUUAUAUGUAUUGCAUUGAAAGCUCAUAACCUGCACCUAGGUGUUAGUGCUUAUAUUGUUAUUCACCACACCGCACGCUCGUCUUGGAUCCAAGUAGGUGGAUGUCGUACAGACCAUGUGAGGGUUCCGACAUGCUAGUCGUACAGAUCACUAGAUGUGAUUCCGACUAGUGGGUGACCUUAGUUAUGCACGCUGAUGAUUGAUGAGAGAAGCACUAGAGCGUAAUUAUACACCUGUCAUCGUACAGACUACUAUAGGUAGUUCCGAGUGACGUGCAGAGUUAGGCCGUACAGGUCACUGUGGUGACUCCGGCUGAGUGGGAUGUUGAGCUUAGAAUCAGCCGUACAAGAUCAUUGUAGGGUCUCCGGUUGAUUUAUUAUUUCACCUGAUUGAUAUUGAUGCAUUCUGAUUAUAAUUUGGGCAUGGCAUAUCAUUUUUGAGAUGUUAUGAUGAUGGAUAUAUGCUGAGUUAUGAUGUUGCGUAUAUAUAUAUAUGUUUAUAUACUAUUUUCUGGGAAAGUAUACAGGUUUUACGGAGAGGGGUUAGAAAUGUUUUAUAUGAAAUGUUUUCGAAAAACUUUGUUUUACUGACCCACUCAAUUUUGUUUUGCGCCUCUCCAGGUUCUAGAUAGCAGAGCUUUGGUGGCCACGAGGAAUCCAACGGUGUUUUGACAGAAUUCACAAAAGUAGGACUCACCCUCGGGUGUUUCAUCUUAGUAAUUGUAUUUUUUUUAAGCUUCCGAACUGUGUAAAUGGUUACGUCACUCUCACGUGACGGCCGGCCAGCAUGCCCUCCUUCGGGACGGGGUGUGUCAUCUGUACCCUAAUUUAUUUAUACUGUACCCAUUCUUCUUUAUUAAUGUACCACUUUGUUAUAUGUGAAAUGUACCAAUUUGUUUUGUAAAAUGUACCAAUUUUUUUAACACUAUGGAUACAUUAAUUCUUUUGCCAUUUAUUAUUUGUUAUUGUUACAUAGUUUUUAUCCAUUUAUUUAUCAAAAUGUUUGAACUUUUUCAUUGUAGCCAUUUCUAAUAAUAUUAUAAUGAGGGAUUUUAAAUUUAUAGGAUUAUAAAUCUUAUAAAAUAUCAAACAAUUAAUGUCAAAACUAUAAAAAUAUAAAUAUUAAUAGUAAUAUAAUGAGAUGUACAAAGUCAAUGGACUUUGAUCAAACUUUGAAUACCAUUAAGGUUUUAGUUAAAAAGUGUUAGAGAUUAGGGACCCCAUCCAAAGUAUCCCAUAGCAUUAUCCUUACUCUUUCAUACAAUUAGCGUAAUGUAAAAAAGUCAACGAACCCAUGUAGAAGAUUUAAUGAGUCGAAUUGUUCAAUGAACCAAACCCAUGUAGAAGAUUUAAUGAGUCGAAUUGUUCAACGAACCAAAUUAACUAACACUCCCCCUCAAGUUUUGUUGGAUAAAAGCUUAAGCGCUCAAAACGUACUUUUACCUGACGGAAUGAUUUCAUCUCAGAAGGUGUUUUCUUAUAGUGAUACCAAUUAACUCCAUGAUAAUAAUCUUUUUAAUUAUUUUAUUUUUUCACUCUUAGCUAUGUAUGGAGGUACAAAGUGACAUAACUAUUUGUAGACUGGCAUCAGUAUAAAAUGAUUCUGCAAUAUGAUUUCUAAAAAGUGAUAGAGACCGGUGUAAAGGGGACAAGUGCAUCGCAUUUCUUCUACAUGCAUAAGAAGAGAUACUCUUGACUAAUUGAUUCAUGAAUUAACUUUUGAAGUUGUCUUCAACUUUUAAAAUAGCGUGAAAUCAGAAGUCAAAAAAAUAAGCAGCACCAUACAAGAAACAAGGCUUGAUGACGCAGCACUAGCGUAGAAGGAUUAAAAAUAUAAAUCCUUGAAGAAACAAAGUUUUUGGAACCCACCAGUUUGAUAGAAACUCUAAAAGGAUAAUUUGAUUAAUUGAUGAGUUGAUGAUUACAAUGGAUAAUACCCAUGACUUAAAUAAGUCAUUUACAACACUUUUGGACAACUCAAAAGGCUUAGAGAAUUAAAACGAAAGUAAAUGACAUUAAUCGGAUGACAAUUGAAAAGUCCAAAACUUAUUACAAACUUUAUUUUUUGGUUUUGGAAGCCACGGUCGCAAGAGUUGGCAAGCCCCGCACACAACCGAAGGACGUAGUUAGCUUAUUGAUUACUCGGCCUGCGUGCCAUGAAUGCUUGGUAGUUUUUAAGGUCAACAAUUGUACAUUUGAGAAUGAAGGAAAAGUACAAUUGAGCCAAAUAUGUUUUUCUACAGUUUUCCUAUGGUUGGGGCCUCAACUCCAACUCGAAGUAUUUCUCCUCUUCCUUGCUUUCUCUUGAGUUAAUGAGAUAUUCCUUUUCUGAUGAGAAAAGGACUUGCAGUUUGAAAAAUGCAACAUAGACUAAAUCCAACAUGAUAAAUUUCGUUACACCCGCACUUUUGACUUAAUAUAUGUUAGGAGUUUGAAAGUCCUAAAAUGAUGAAGAAAUUGGGUAUCGAAUAAAAAUUUCGGGCCUCAAAUCCAUUGCACUUCAAACCACUGCAGGAAUUGAAACAGAUGACUCUAAUGCCUUAAUUUGAUGCUGAGAAUCUGAAACUUUCAUCUCCUUUACUAUCUGCUGGUAACCUGUAAAUGGGUCCCGUUUAUUGGGUUUGGAUCGUGUUUCACCUGACCCGUUAAGCUAAUUAGUCACCCCUAACUCGUUAAGCUAACGAGUCAUCCAACAAAAACCAUCAUCGGAGAAGACAAACGGAACCGGCCGGAUCGGGAUAAGGGAACGGGUCCAUCCUCCCGUGCCUUUUCCCUCUCCCUCAUUUUCCUCAUUUCCUCCCCUUUCAUCUCAACCAUCCAUCUCUCUCCUUUCUCUUCCUUUCCUUCCAUCCCAGCCACACAAGUGGCUUCACAAAUCUUUGCUCCAGAAAUCUGGAGCCUUCCAAAUUAAAGAAAAUUACCAAAAUGUCUUUAACUUUAAAUGUUAAUAACUCUUUCAUUAUAACUCUGUUUCACGAACGGUUUGCUCCUACACGUUCGUGAGAUCAAGCUCUAUUCAAAAUAUGAAUUGUAACCUCGAAAGGUCUACGGAUUUUAAAGAUUGAUUACGAAAAUUCAACCCCGAUAAUUAUUUGAUUUAAUUCCAAAAAUAAAUGAAAUUAAAAUUAACUAAUAAAAAUAACGUAAACGUGAAAUAUGAAUUUAAAUAACGAGAUACGUAAUUAAUAGUGAAAUUCCGAGGACGGGAUUUCACAAGAAUUCUUUACAAGGCUACAAAGAAAAUAAAUAAAUUAAACUUCUAGAGAUCUCAAAUCUAAUUCAAUCUCAUUCCGCCUACUCUCAUGACUGUCUAGUUUGAAAACCUGCAUAACAAUAAAGGGGUGAACUUCAACAACUCACUAGGGACAUAAUCUUAAAUAGUAAAAUAACCAAGCUAAAUUAGAUGUCAUGGCAUCAUACACAUCAGGUAUCAAAUCAUUAUUGAUAACAAUGCAUGAAGGCAACGUAAAGCACUUUACCUAUACUUGUUAAUUCGUAUAACAAAACACACAGACCUCGUACGUCUCAUUCCGUACUUAUACCACUUGAUCAUGAGUGCUAAGUUAUAUAAAAUUUCCACCGACCCCAAGCCCGGGUCGUGACACCUAACCAGGUCAACAGACCUGGUGAUCGCACCUAAUCAAAACCCCUGGUGCCAAUAGUGCCUGCUGGCGUGAGACCCUCUGCAGCAGCCCCAACAGAAGAGCCAAACGACUCUAUAUGACGUGGCUCGAUAACAACCGUCGAAUUGAUCUUAGGCGGGUGUAAUUGAUCUUAGGCGAUUAUUGAGGCGUGUCGGUAGAGAGAGGGAUUGAUUAAUUUGGUGGUUGCAUGACACAUGUAAUAUCUCCUUCAGUCAUGGAAGCUUUCUCAAAUUUUAGUCAGUCAAGUGUAAUGCCAACAAUUGUUUAAAGAACAGAUUAAUUUUUCUUCAAAACCUACAACUAGCAUACGGAACAAAACGAUCAAAUGGAAGUCACCAAGAGGCAAUAAUCACGGAUCGGGAGCUAUCAGAUGGACAGCACAGCACAAAACUUGACAUUGAGUACUUUACAUGUGGGCCAAUUCGGUGUUGGGCUUUACAUGUGGACCAAUCUGUUCUGACAUUCCAAAAAAAUAUGACCACAAAAUGAAACAAUAUAAAAAGUGAUUUAACUUAUUAUAAGUCCAUGCAAGGUUUUGUUAUUCGUCGAAAUGGGACUUUAGCCUUCACACCUUCACAUAAUGUUCCAAUAACUUGUUUUUUCCCAUUAAUUUUCUUGUUAAAAUAUGUCAAUAAUUAUGAAAAUGGUACGUAAAAGUACUCUUAUAACAUCCCUCAAAUAUGGAAAACCAAAUAAAAUAAUAAAACUAGAAAACAAAAUAAAAUAAUAAAACUAGAAAACACAUUGUUGAUGUGUAACCCUUGAGCUAAUAUCUUGGAGCUAAAGUUACAAAUUUUGAUUUUCCUUUUAUGUGAUUUAUCUUUCUGAUGUAAACCAAGUGGUCUCUUCUCUAGCAUAGGAUCCAAGUGAUAGAAUAAGACAAGUGACAUCAUCUCAUAGGAUGAUAGCAAUGAAUGGUUGAGAUUGUUGUGUAUUGGUGAGUGAAGGAUCUCCCUUCCUCUACAUACAUAACGGUUACAAAAUGUAUUUGGUCUAAUUGAGUGAAAUCCAAGAGACAUAUUCAAUCAUCUUCUCUCUGAACACCAUUGCUGUUUUGUUCUUCAAACUCUAACACAUAGAACUCCAUUGAAAUACAAAUAAAACACAAACUCUAAUAUGGCCUCAGAGCCGGGUUCGGUUAUCUAAACUGGGCGUAAAUCUGUGAAAAGAAAACUGGAAUUGAUUAGAGCUGCAAUCGAGCUCAUACGACGAUCGAGGUGGUGUGAUUUCUUGAAUCCGAUGUCUAACAUGGCAGGAUCGGGCACUGCUGAGCUUCGCACGCCAGUUUUCAAUGGAGAAAAUUAUGAGUUCUGGAGUAUUCGAAUGAAAACCAUUCUGAAAUCUCAUGGGUUAUGGGAUAUCGUUGAAAAUGGGUUCGAUGCUUCAGAUUCAAAGAAGGAGAAGAAGAAGAUAGAAGAGAUCGAGGUCACUGAAGUGGAGAAACCGACGUUAGCUGAAAUCCUGAUGAAGGAUGCUCGUGCACUUGGGUUGAUCCAAGGUGCUGUCUCAAACCAAAUUUUCCCCAGAAUUGUGAACGAAGAGACUUCAAAGGGUGCUUGGGACAUUCUGAAGCAAGAGUUAAGAUGAGAUAAGCAAGUAAGGAGCGUAAAAUUGCAAGGUUUGCGUCAAGAAUUUGAAUAUACUCGCAUGAAAGAUAGUGAAUCCUUAUCUGUAUAUCUUACUAGAUUGUUUGAUAUAAUGAAUCAAAUGAAGAGUUAUGGUGAGGAUCUGUCUAGAGAGAGAGUUGUGAAAAAAUUGUUGAUUAGUUUGCCUAGAUCACAUGAUCCUAUUUGUUCCGUAAUUGAACACUCUAAUGACCUUGAAACUCUUGAGGUUCAAGAGGUAGUUGCUUCUCUGAAAAGUUUUGAACUCAUAUUGGAUAGACAUGCUGAAAAUUCUACUGAACGAGCUUUUGCUAGUCUAAAUGUUGGAGGUAAAAACCCUAAGGGAGUAGGUUAUUCUGGAAAUCAAAAGUUUCAGAAAAACUAGAAAUCCAAAGGAAAGAAGUGGGAUAAUAAGCCAAAUUUUGUUCACAAACCAAAUGUCUCUAAUGAUGGAAACAAGACAGCUUGUAGACACUGUGAUAAAUUGCAUUAUGGCAAAUGUUGGUUUGAAGGGAAGUCUAAAUGCACAGGUUGUGGGAAACUUGGGCAUGUGAUCAGAGACUGCCAUGGAAACAAAAAUAUACAGAAGGUGAACUAUGUAAACCAGGUUGAAGAAAUUGGUACCAUGUUCAAUGCAUGUAAUGCUAUGACAGAUGUGAAGGUGAAUCAUUCAUGGUACAUUGAUAGUGGUUGUAGUAACCACAUGAUAGGUGAUGAAAGGUUACUAAUCAACAUUCAAAGGAAUCUGACUUCCAGGGUGAAGAUGGGAACUGGAGAAAUUGUUCAGGUUGCAGGAAAGGGGACUCUUGUUAUAGAGACCAAAUUGGGAAGAAAGCAUAUUCAAGAAGUGAUGCUUGUUCCUGGACUUGAAGAGAAUCUGCUAAGUGUUGGACAGAUGAUGGAGCACGGGUACUAUCUAUUGUUUGGAGGAAAUAUUGUGAAUAUCUUCGAUGGUUGGUCACUGGAUAAUCUUGUUGUUAGAGUGCAGAUGACAAACAACAGGUGUUUUCCUCUUACAAUGAUGCCCGCAAAUUAGUUAGCAUUGAAAGCAAGUGUGACACACUGUAUGCAGAUAGGGCAUAAACGUUUGGGGCAUCUAAAUAAUAGAAGCAUAAAAAUGCUUGAAGAUCAAGAAAUGGUUCAUGGAUUGCCUCAUUUGGAGAAAACCUCUGUUGUGUGUGAAGGCUGCAUGCUAGGAAAGCAACACAGAGAGUCUUUUCCAUCAAAAUCAGCUUGGAGAGCUAAACUUCCAUUGGAAUUGGUUCACACAGAUAUCUGUGGACCAAUGCAAACUGAAUCUAUCUCUGGAAAUAAGUACUUUCUCUUGUUCACUGAUGAUUGUACUAGGAUGUCUUUGGUAUAUUUUCUCAGAAACAAGUCAAGUGCAUUUGAUUGUUUCAAGAAGUUUAAAGCAAUGACAGAGUUGCAGUGUGGAUAUAAGGUGAAAUGUCUAAGGAGUGAUCGGGGUGGAGAGUUCUUAUCAACCGAAUUUGACAGUUAGUGCAAUGAGCUUGGAAUUCAAAGGCAAUUAACCAUGGCAUAUUCUCCUCAACAUAAUGGAGUAGCUGAGAGAAAGAAUAGGACUGUGGUGGAAAUGGCAAAGUCUAUGAUGCAUGAAAAGGGUCUUUCUUAUGCAUUUUGGGCAGAGGCUGUGAACACUACAGUCUACAUACUUAAUAGAUGUCCCUCAAAGUCUCUCAAGAAGAUAACUCCAUUUGAAGCAUACACUGGUAGAAAACCAGGUAUUGCACACUUGAAGAUUUUUGGGUCACUAUGCUAUGUGCACAUUCCCUCAACACUAAGGCAUAAGCUUGAAGAAAAUAGUCGCAAGUGUAUUUUUGUAGGCUAUGGAAUCUGUGAAAAAGGGUACAAAGUGUUUGAUUUGAGUUCCAGUAAGAUCAUCCUGUCUAGAGAUGUACACUUUGAUGAGAAUGCUUCAUGGGAGUGGGAGAACACUGAUAAGAGUGAAAUACAAGUCCCCAUGAUUGCUGAGAAUCAAAUGGCAGAUUGUAGUGAAGGACAGAAGCAAGUGGAAGUAUGUGAACCAAGUCAAUUCUUGGAUACAUCAACUCAAGUGGAGGAUGUUAUUACACCACUAAGUGAGAAUGUUUUCGAAAGCUCUCAAACAACUGAUCACACACCACAGAAAUGGAGAAGUGUCAAUGAGAUCAUGGCUCAGUGUAACAUGUGCAUUGUAGAACCUAAAAACUAUGAAGAAGCUAUUCUAGAUGAGUCAUGGGAAAAUGCAAUGAAAUUUGAGCUUGAAAUGAUUGAGAAGAACAACACAUGGGAGCUAGUUGAUAGACCAUUUGACAAGCCAAUCAUUGGUGUUAAGUGGGUCUAUAAAACCAAGUUGAAUCUUGAUGGACCUGUGCAGAAGAACAAGGCCAGACUGGUGGCAAAAGGUUAUUCCCAAAAGCAUGGGAUAGACUACAAUGAAACAUUCGCUCCGGUUGCAAGAUUAGAUACUAUCAGGACCUUGAUAGCAAUUGCUGCACAGAAGGAAUGGAAUCUAUAUCAGUUGGAUGUAAAAUCUGCUUUUCUGAAUGGAACUUUGAAGGAGGAGGUUUAUGUUGAGCAGCCACAAGGUUUCGUGAAGGAGAGUGAAGAAACCAAGGUGUAUAAGUUGAACAAGGCUCUGUAUGGGUUGAAGCAAGCUCUAAGAGCUUGGUAUGAUGAGAUAGAUUCCUAUUUUAGCAAGGCAGGUUUCAAGAAGAGCUCUAGUGAAGCAACACUUUAUGUCAAAACUAGUGAAGCUACAGGUAUCAUUAUUGUUUCACUCUAUGUGGAUGAUAUUGUAUAUACUGGAAGUUGUCCAAAACUACUUGAAGAGUUCAAAAAUGACAUGAUGUAGCAUUAUGAGAUGACUGAUCUGGGGUUACUUCAUCAUUUUCUUGGCAUGGGAGUAGUACAAACAGAUAAAAACAUUUUAAUCCACCAGAGGAAAUAUGCAAUGAAGCUUAUUGAGAAAUUUGGGAUGAAAGAUUGCAAAUCAGUGGCAACACCACUAGCUGUGAAUGAGAAGUUAUGCAAGAUAGAUGGUAGUGAAGCAGCAAAUGAAAGUGAAUAUAGACAAGUUGUAGGUAGCUUGUUAUACUUGACUGCUACAAGGUCGGAUAUAAUGUUUGCUUCUAGUUUACUUGCUAGAUUCAUGCCUAACCUCACAAAGAAACACAUGGGAACAGCCAAAAGGGUGUUGAGAUAUAUUCAGGGCACUCUUGAUUUUGGAAUUGAAUUUGUGAAAGGGAAGACAAAUACUCUAAUAGGGUACUGUGAUAGUGACCGGGCAGGAAGUGAGGAUGACAUGAGAAGCACCUCAGGAUAUGCAUUUACACUUGGAUCCGGUAUGUUUUCAUGGGCAUCAAUCAAACAAAACACAGUGGCACUGUCCACUGCAGAAGCAGAAUAUGUCAGUGCUGCAGAAGCAACAUCACAUGCUAAAUGGCUAAGGUUUGUGCUUGAAGAUUUUGGAGAGGAGCAAGUGGAAGGCACACCAAUUCUGUGUGAUAACACUUCAGCCAUAGCAAUGGCAAAGAAUCCAGUUCUUCACCAGAGAACUAGGCACAUCAGUAGGAAAUUUCAUUUUAUCAGGGAAGCUAUCCAAACAAAGGAGAUUGAACUCGUCUACUGCAAAACGGAAGACCAGAUUGCAGAUAUACUAACCAAGGCUCUGUCAAAGGAUCGAUUUGUUUACCUAAGAGAUCUACUUGGUGUGAAAUCAGCUAAAGGGUUAGAAGGGAGUGUUGAUGUGUAACCCUUGAGCUAAUAUCUUGGAGCUAAAGUUACAAAUUUUGAUUUUCCUUUUAUGUGAUUUAUCUUUCUGAUGUAAUCUGAGCCAUUGGAUCAUAGUCCAAGUGGUCUCUUCUCUAGCAUAGGAUCUAAGUGAUAGAAUAAGACAAGUGGCAUCAUCUCAUAGGAUGAUAGCAAUGAAUGGUUGAGAUUGUGUUGUGUAUUGGUGAGUGAAGGAUCUCCCUUCCUCUACAUACAUAACAGUUACAAAAUAUAUUUGGUCUAAUUGAGUGAAAUCCAAGAGACAUAUUCAAUCUUCUCUCUAAACACCAUUGUUGUUUUGUUCUUCAAACUCUAACACAGAGAACUCCAUUGAAAUACAAAUAAAACACAAACUCUAAUACACAUAUCCCUAUUCUAAUUUGGUAAACUAGGCAGCCAUAAAUUCCACACAUUUCCUAGUCAAAUUUGCACCAAAUCAGGCUUAAGAAGUGGUGUUGGAAAGAUGAAAACGUUCCUUUCAACUUUGUAGAAUGAACUUUCCUAAAAAAAAACAUAAUUUUCAAAGACUUGUGACCAAAACAGCCUAAAAUGUCAAUCUGACAGCGCAAUCCUCUUCACUCCUUGAUGAAUCAGUUCUAAUUGGAAUCACUCCAAAAUUUCAUCAUUUCGUCACUUUUUAAGCAAACUAGAUUUUGCUUGUCCUCCAAUUAAAGCAUAAAAGAAAGUAUCAAAAUUCUCUCAAGAUAACAAAUAAAUUAUACCAAAGAUUAUGAUAAAAAUAUAAAAUAAUAUCUACUAGGCGGUCCUCAUACAAUAAAAGAGAAUUAAGUCACGAUAAGCAUGGAAACUAUUGAGGAGAAUUUGUAAGGUAAAUAUUUAUACAAAUGAUAACACUAUUAUUCAUCAACGAUAACGCAAGUUUUAGGGUGAACUACAUUGAUGUUUUCUGUGUUUGCACUUAAAGUCCGCCAAUCUUUUUGCAUUUGUUGCCUAUUGCACUGCACAACUGAUGGAUGUUAAUAUUCAGUUUACAAGCAGUUCCUACUAAACCAGUUCCCUUGUAGUCUACGAAAUGUUGUACAAAUUUCGUAGCUUUGGUUUUAGAAUUUAUACAACUCUAGUUAUACACAUUACUCUUGAAUAUGUAACUGUUGUACAAGUAUUCUUAGUUACUUAGGCAUAGGAAAGUUUUGAUUUGAUUUGAUUGAAAAGAGUGUCUCCAAUUAAUCGAAUGAACAAGAAUCCUUUUAAACAAACAUAGCUGCUUUCAUUCUAAUUUCAGAAAAUCCAAAUCCAUGAAAACAUAUACAGCACUCUACUAUCUUUAUUGAUAUCACUUUCAUCUCCAUUUUGUUUGUUAAAGGAUACGAACAAACAUUGAUAUAACUUAAAACAGUAGGAUAUAUAGGGCAGAGUCUUGAACUUGAAUAACACAAUCAACUAAAAGCUAUGAAGCUUUCUUUCUUUUUAAAGAAACCUCGACGGUACGAGAGAAAAUUUUAUUGAAUAAAAAAAAAAAGUUACACCUAGUCGGGGGACAUAAACUUUACUCAAAAUAAAGACAGGAUAAAGAAAAUUGGCGAAAAUACAAGAAAGUAGGGGGACAUACACUUACAUAACAUAAAACAAACUUAUAACUAAACAUAUAGAGAAGGAAAGAAACCACAAUAGAGAAACCAAACGACAACAACAGAUGCAUAACAUUGUAACAAACUCAAUUUCUAUCCCCCCCCCCCACUAGUACUCUAAAUUUUCCAUAUCAUUUGUCUGAUCAUUCCAACAAUCUUAAGAAACAAAUCGGGCCUCCUUGUGAUCACAACAUCUGCAAGAACUACUCCCACUACCAACCCACUUCCACAUCCGGCCGAAACAAUUUUCCAAUCAAAUUCAAAUAUUCCUGCUGAGCUAGAAUCACCUUCGUCUACGGUUGGAGGUGGAAGUUGAGGGGCCUUAGGAUUUCCACAUUUCUUUGGCAAUGGAUCUCCACACAACCCUGGCACUACUACAAAAGGACCCUAUAGUGUCAGUUGUUGCGUCGGUUUAAUAUCAUAUAGUGGCGCACAAGAGAGUUGCGACACCCACUGAAUAUGACGUCGGAUUUAGAAAGUCUGCGUCGCUUCUAUAUGCGACACGCAUACUUAAUGUCGCUUAUAACCGACACACGUUUUAAUAAUUUUAAAUACUGGCGUCGCUUUGAAUAAAACAGUGUCGCUUUUAAGCGACAUUAAGUAUGCGUGUCGCAUAUAGAAGCGACACUAAUUGAUUUUUUUAUAUAUUUUAAAUCCUACGUCGGUUCUGAGCGACAUAUAUUUUAUUUUUUUAAAUAUUUUGAAAACCAGUGUCGGUUGUAAGCGACAGAUUGAUCGUCUUUAUAUUCACUCACCCGUGUUCAUCUUUUCCUCUUGCAUUUAUCUCAUUCUCACGGUUCACAAACCUUCUCUCUCUCACCUUCCGAGUUCUUCCAAGUUCAUUCUUCACAAAGGUAAAUUUUUCUUGCUUGUAGUAUUUUUAUUUUCUCCUCUUAUGUUUAAUAUUUUGAUACAAUUUAUUGUUGUAGGGAAUUUAUUUGAGCUGGUUGAGUAUAUAAAGAAUUGAUCGACGACGGAAUUCUUCUAUAAUUCAGGUUUUCUAUCACUAAAUUCUUUAAUUUUUAAAUUGUAUAAUACACAAGUUUAUUUAUUUAAAAAUUGUAAUUUAAGUAGUUAGAUAAAUUUCUAUUAUUUUUGUUAAAUUACUUCAUAUUUAGGCGAAAUAAAUUAAUUUUGUCACUUGAAUUGUUAUGAGAAAAUAGAAUGAAUAUUAUCUAUAAGCAUUUAUGUUAAAUUAACAACAUUAAAUAUAACUUAAACUUAUAAUAUUGAGUAAUUUAAGAAUAUAUUAUGUUAAAUUAAUUUUUUUUUCACUCUAAUUGUUAUUUUAAUUUGUUGUUAUUUUGAUAAUUUUUUGUUGUUAUUUACUAGAAUGGAUUAGAUGAGAAUAAUUUGAAUUGUUAUGAGAAAAUGGAAUGAAUAUUAUUUAUAUGCAUUUAUGUUAAAUUAACAAUAUUAAAUAUAACAUAAACUUAUAAUAUUUAGUAAUGUAAAAAUAUAUUAUGUUAAAUUAAUUUUUUUUUUUUUUGCAAUUUGAAUGGUUAUGAGAAAAUGAAAUGAAUAAUAUUUAUAAGCAUGUAUGUUAAAUUAACAAUAUUAAUAUAACAUAAACUUAUCAUUUUUAGUAAUAUAAGAAUAUAUUAUGUUAAAUUAAUUUUUUUUACAAUUUGAAUUGUUAUGAGAAAAUGGAAUGAAUAAUUUAAAUAAGCAUUUAUGUUAAAUUAACAAUAUUAAAUAUAACUUUUGCACUAUAAUUGUUAUUUUAAUUUAUUGUUAUUUUGUUAACUUUUGGUUGUUAUUUACUAGAAUGGAUUAGAUGAGCAUAAUUUUGAUAACUUUUUGUUGUUAUUUUAAUUUGUUUUUACUACAAUAGGUGUUGAAAAUUAAAAGAUUGCAAUCGUGAUCGUGAUAGAGUUCGAGGGUUGAAAGAUAGAAAUUGAAAAUUCUAAUAGUUAUGCCUACAUGAUAGGGAUUGCAAGAUUGUAGGCAUCUUAGUGUCAGCGUAAUAUUUUACCCUCAUAAACUGGUAAAACAUGGACAAGAGUUGGUUGACGAUACCUCAAAAUUUUGAAGCGUAUACAGUUGGAAUUAAUUUGUUUUUGGAUCAAGCAGUUGCAAAUGGUGUUGGUCCUGAUAAGUUUAGAUGUCCUUGCAAAAGAUGUUGUAAUCGAUAAACUUUUGUUAGGAACACUAUUAUUGAACAUCUCAUAUUGUAUGAUAUGGAUAAAGAUUAUAAAAAUGCUUGCUGGCGACAUCAUGGCGAGCAAAACAUUGGAGAGCAAAAUGUGGCAAUUGGAGAAGAAGAAACAUGAGAUGAGGUGAUUGGUAUGCAUGACUUUCUUAAUGAUGUAUUUGUCCAACCAUUAACAGAAGAAGGUGUUGGGCCGUCUAUUGAACCGUCUAUUGGGGAAGGGCGUCCAGAAGAGGUGGAGACUUUUUUUAGGUUGCUUGAAGAGCCAGAUCAAGAUUUGUGGCCAGGGUGUAAGGAGUUUAAGAAAUUAGAAGCAGUUGUAAGGCUGUAUCAGAUCAAGUGUUUAGCGGGAAUGCCAGACGACAUCUUCACAACUUUACUGGAGUUAAUUAAAAGAAUGUUGCCUGAAGGGGAUUGUUUGCCUGAAUCAUGUUAUAAGGCAAAAAAACUUAUAAAUGACUUGGGUCUGACGUAUGUGAAAAUUGAUGCAUGUCCCAAUGAUUGCAUGAUCUAUUGGAAAGAUACUUCGGAUUUGACCGUGUGCUCGGUUUGUGGUGAAUCAAGAUAUAAAGUUACCAACGCAGCGGAUAGGUCGAGAAAAAAAAGAUCGCAGCUAAGGUUAUGUGGUAUUUUCCUUUAAAACCAAGAUUGCAACGAUUUUUUAUGUCGAAGCAUACGGCUGAACAUAUGAGGUGGCAUGCAAUUGAAUGUCCUAAAGAUGAGUUUAUGAGACAUCCUUCAGAUUCUCCAGCAUGGAAGCAUUUGGAUAAUUUAUAUCCGGAUUUUGCGUCGUCAGAAAUUCGAAAUGUUCGAUUAGGGUUGGCCAGUGAUGGAUUUAAUCCUUUUGGAAAAAUGAGGAAUGAUCAUAGCACAUGGCCGGUGGUGCUUUCUGUUUACAAUUUGCCGCCUUGGAUGUGCAUGAAGCAACCAAAUUUGUUGUUGUCUCUUUUAAUACCAGGACCGCGCAGUCCUGGUAAAGAGAUUGAUGUAUACAUGCGUCCACUGAUUGACGAGUUGAAUGAGUUGUGGGAGGUGGGCACUCCAACUUAUGAUGCGUAUUCCAACCAAAGUUUUAUGAUGAAGGCUGCUGUCUUAUGGACUAUAAGUGAUUUUCCGGCUUAUGGAAUGUUGUCAGGAUGGAGUACACAUGGCUAUAAAGCAUGUCCACAUUGCAUGCAUGAUAAAGAAUCCAUUUACUUGCCGGCGAGUCGUAAAAUUUGUUAUAUGGGGCAUCGACGGUUUCUUGAAGAUAAUCAUAGGUUUCGAAGGCAAACCACAGCUUUUAAUGGUCGUCGUGAGCAUCGUGAGCAUCGUAGUGCACCAAGGCAGUGGACUGGUUUACAAUGUCUUGAAGAACUUUGUACAUUGAGAUUUACUUUUGGAAAACCAAAGAAAAAUGCUUCAGUCGGGCAACGCAGAAAAAGAACUUCGAGCAGUACAAGUGGUAACAGUCAGUGGAAGAAGAAAUCUAUUUUUUAUGAACUACCUUAUUGGAGGCAUCUGUUGAUUAGACACAAUCUUGAUGUUAUGCAUAUCGAGAAGAAUAUAUGUGACAGUCUGGUGGGAACAUUGCUAGGUAUAGAAAAGUCUAAAGAUGGAUUGGCUGCACGUGCAGAUCUUGAAGUCUUGAACAUAAGACGCAGUCAACACCCACGUAGAGAAGGAAAUAGAACAUUUCUACCUCCAGCUUUGUUCACGUUGAAAAGAGAAGAAAAAACUGCGCGUUUUGCAAUGUGUUGUCUACUAUUCGGGUCCCCGAUGGAUAUUCAUCAAAUUUAUCGCGAUGUGUGCACGUGAAUGAACGAAAAAUACAUGGGUUGAAAAAGUCAUGAUUGCCAUGUUUUAAUGCAGCAGUUACUCCCGCUUGCAAUACGCCCGGUUUUGCCUAAAGUUGUUACUAUGGUAUUAUUAGAGUUGAGUGCAAUUUUCAGACAGUUGUGUAGUAAGAAGGAGUCUGAGGAAGGAUUUCAAGGAACUGAGUUCAAGAAUUGCCUUGACAUUAUGUCAACUUGAAAAAAUAUUUCCUCCUGCAUUUUUUUGAUAUUAUGGUGCACCUUCCAGUUCACUUGGCAGAUGAAGCAGCUCUUGCAGGGCCUGUUCCCUAUAGAUGGAUGUAUCCAAUUGAACGGUAAUUAAUAAUUUUUUUAUAAAUUUUUUACAAUUGUAGUCAUAACUUUAAUUUAUAAUUAUUACAAUUGUAGUCAUAACUUUAAUUUAUAAUUAUAGGUAUUUGCAAACGUUGAAGCGCAAUGUUCGUAAUAAAGGUCGUCCUGAAGGUUCUAUGGCUGAAGCAAAUUUGGUGGAUGAGUGCUUGUCCUUCUGUUCCAUGUAUCUUAGAGGUGUCGAGUCUCGUCGUAACCGUAGAGGCCGAAAUGAAGAUGGUAUUGGACGUGGAGUGUCUGGUGGGUUAUCAAUUUUUGACUCCAAAGGAUGUUAUAUGGGUUCAGGAGAACAUGUGGAGCUCGAUCUAAAUACUCUUGAUCAGUGCCAUAGAUAUAUUCUAAAUAAUUGUGAUGAAGUGAACCCAUUUAGAAGGUAAUAACGUUUAAUCACACGUUUUAAUGUUUUAUUGAUUUUCUUAACUUUGAAAAAUUAAUUAUCUAAAUUUCGACAUAAUUGUGUAGCCAACAUGAGGAAUUCUUGAAAACUAAACAUCGUCGAGAAAGGUUAACUAUGCGCCAAAUUAAGGAGCUAAGCAAGAAAGAAUUUCCAGAAUGGUUCAAGCAACAUGUGAGUUGAUAUAACAAUCACAUUAUUUAUUUAUUGUUUUGCAUUUUAAUUAUAACAUGUUAUAGUUAUUCUGUCAAUUUUUAUCUUCAUACUUAUUACAGAUGAAUUCAAGCUAUCAUGCUAAUGACACGUUGAUAUCUGAAGACUUGCAUUGGCUAGCUAAUUAUCCUAGUAGGGUUGUGAGUAGAUAUAAAAGUCACAUUGUUCAUGGGUUUAGAUUUCGUAUAAAAUCUGUGGAUGAUAAGCAUAAGAAUCAAAAUUGUGGUGUCUUUGUACCUGCAAAUGUUCCUGGAGCAAUUGGGCAAGUGAAUUGUUAUGGCAGAGUUGUUGAUAUGUUCGAGGUUAAAUAUUGUGGUCCUACUGAGGCGGAAGAUAGGGGUCGAGCUGUGAUGUUAUUUAAGUGCGAAUGGGUUAAUAGUGAAAGUCCACGAGGAAUGAAGACCGAUCAAUAUGGAUUUACUAUGGUGAAUUUCAAUCAAUUGGGAUUUAAAGAGGAUCCUUUCAUACUAGCAUCACAAGCAUUACAAGCAUUUUAUGUGGAGGACACAAUUGAAAAAGAUUGGCACGUAGUUGUUCGAACUCAGCCGAGGGAUUUGUUUGACGUACUAGAGGAUAGUGAUGCUAUUGAUGAUUAUGCCAUACCGAAUUUGGAUGAUCGAAUUCUUGAUAAUGAAAAUUUUCAUACAAGGGUUGGCGUGGAAGGGACUCCUUUUCUUGAAUCAUUAGCGCUGCCUACCGAGUUCGUUAAUCAUGCCAAUGUUGACGAUGAGCUAACAGAUGAUGAAGGAGAAUAAAUAUGUUAAUUAUUUUAUGUAUUAAUUAUCCUAUCUUUCAUUUCGUAUGUUAUGUUAUCUUAUUAUCAAAAUUAUAUUUUUGUUUUUUUUUAUUAAGUAUUAAAUAUAAGUUAAACCUUUUAUUUUUAAUAUUGGGUUAUAAUUUUUUUUUUUUUAGCUUGUUUCCUGUCGCUUUUAACCGACGUCGGUUUAAUUAAAAUAUUUUGGGCGGCAUUUUUCGCGGUUUUUUAAUUAAGUUGGCGUCGGUUUUAACUGACGCAAUGAAAGCUUAUUUCGACGCAAUGUCAUUUUAGCGUCGGUUUAAACCGACGCAAACUAAGAUUAUUUCGACGCAGACUGUCAUAUUACGUCGGUUUGAUCCGACGCAAUAUAAGCCUAUUUCGACGCAAUGUGAGUCUAUUUCGACGCAAGUUAAAAACCUGUUGUGAAUUAUAUGUAUUAAUGCGAAGAAAGGAUGAUUAUUUUUUCUUAUUUAAAGUUCACGAAAUUUUUUGAGCCGUUAAUUACACUAUUUUUCUUUUUUAUUUAACAAUUUUAUACUUCUAAAAACUUUAACAAUUUUAUACACUAGUGGAUAUCCCAAAAUCUUGUGUUAUACUUAAUGAAAGUAUGAAUAAACUGUUUAAGUGUUAGUGAAUGUAUCGUUUUGAUGGAAUACGAACUCUACGAAACUAAUUUCAACGAUCGAACCGUCAAACAUGUUUGUGUAUACUUCGAGAUCGCAUACGCCAAAAAUUAAAAAAAAAAAACUUUCUGAGACACAGUAACGGGAAAAACUUAUUCGACGGUUAUUAACGAAAAAUCACGAUGUAACGGUUAUUUUAACUCCGAUUUUGAUGAUUUUUUAUAUGUACACUCCUUCACCCUAUAUGAAUACGGUGAAUGAAUGCGAUCUUCAAUUUGAAAUAUUUACACUAGUGGAUAUCCCAAAAUCUUGUGUUAUACUUAAUGAAAGUAUGAAUAAACUGUUUAAGUGUUAGUGAAUGUAUCGUUUUAAUACAACAAAUUAUUUGCAUAAGAAAAAUUCAUUUUAAACGAAUAAUGAUAAGUUAAGAUAGAAUAUUUGUGGUGAAUUUAGAAUAUUUAUCAUAAUAUUUUAUGAACUAGUUGGUCAAUUAUUUACAAUAAAAAUCAAAAUUUUAAGGAUAUUAUAAACCGAACAAUGUUUGAUCAAAAGUUUCAAAAUUAUAGAUGUUUGAUUAAAACAAUUCAAAUAUAAGCCAUCAAUAUCACAAUGUUCCUAAAAUUAUAUUUGUGUUUUUAUUAAGCAUUAUGUAUAAGUUAAAUUUUAUAUAUUAAAAUAUUAUAAGAAAUAACCUUUUUUUAUUUUAACUAUUUUUUUUUCUCCUGCGUUUCCAUUUUUUCUUUUUUAGUUAAACUCUUUUUUUAUUUUUUUGUUGGGCGGGAAUUUUCCCGGUUUUUUUGCACGGGGAAAUGGAUCGGAAGAAUUAGGGUGGAAUUGGACGUGCGAAAGAACCGAAGCAUCGAAAUAAUAAAUAGUUGCGUCGAAAUAAUAAGUAGUGGCGUCGGUUUUAAUCGACGUAAAUACUUAUUAUUUCGACACAACCACUUAUUAUUUCGACGCCUCGUAUUAUACGUCGGUUUAAACCGACGCAACCAGUUAUUGUUUCGACGCAGGCAUUUAUUUCUAUGCCUCGGUUCUUUCACACGUCCAAUUCCGAGGACACUGCAAUUAAUGUCUGUCAGAAUAACGUCGGUUAAAACCGACGUCAUUGUCCUCUAUUUCGACGCUAGUUAGAAAUGUCAGACUAUAACGUCGGUUUUAAGCGACGCAAUAUGCCCAUAUUUCGACGCCUCGGUCACAUUCGCACGUCCAAUUCCGAGGCCACUGCAAUUACUGUCUGUCAGAAUAACGUCGGUUCAAAUCGACGCAAUUAGCCUCUAUUUCGACGCUAUUUAAAUCUGUCAGACCUAACGUCGUUUUGAAGCGACGCAAUGUUACCCUAUUUCGACGCUAGUCAAAAAUGUUGCAGAGGUGGUGUCGCUUUGAAGCGACGUAAUAGUUGCAUAUUUCGACGCUAAUUUUUUUGGCAUAUUUAAGGUUCUACGACCUAUUUCCGUCUCUCUCAUUUCACUCCCCAUUUCACUCCCUUCACUCCCCAUUUCACUCCCUUCACUCCUAUUUCCGCACUUCUUCCUUUGGUUUUGCUAUGGAUAGUAGUUGUGAUUCUCAACGUGAUGAGGAACUUCAUGUGGAAGAGGAGGAGGUUGAAGCUGGUUAUUUUUCUACAUUAUUAUUGGAUUCGUUUUUUUUUUUUUUUUUGUGUUUAAUCUUCUAUUAUCCUUAUAAACUGAAAGUUUACAUCUGUUUCCAACUUUUUUGGUUUGUUUUAACUGUGGUUUUGUUAUGAACAAGGAACUUCUCAACGGAGGCGAGGACCCUCAAUUCCCAAAUGGACGAAACAGCUUUGUUCGUUUGAUAUGUCUGGAAAAUGCGUUAAUGAUAACUCUAGUGCAUUUUCAAAAUAUGUGGCAUCGGAGGUUAGAGACCACAGAAUUCUCCCAUUGGCGAAGCAUUGGCGUAAGAUUAAGGAUGUAGAUAAGGAAGCUUUUUGGAAUAGAAUUAAGGUAUAGGUAUUUAUAUUUUUAUUAGAAAAUAAAAGAAUAAUUCAAUGAUUGUUAUAAUAUUUGACUUGGUUGAUUUAUUUUUUUUAUUUUUUAUUUUAUGGAUGUAGGGAAAUAUUGUUUUUGAAGAUGCUGAUAUACCAAGAUUGCCUUUGAUCCGCUUUAUGACGCUUAAGGUUGCUGAGCAUGCACAUAAGGAGUACAGAAAUAAGUUAAAAAAAAAAUAUUAUACCAACAGAGCUGCAGAGGAGCGUCCCCAGCCUCCUCCUGAUGUGAAUCCUACCCAGUGGGGUAAUUUGUUGGCAUACUGGAGUGGAGAUAAAACAAAGGUAAACGAUGUAGUUUAUUUCGUUAUAACUAUAAAUUUGUGUAAUAAUUUUUUUAUUUUUAUUUUCAGGAGGUUGCUGAAAAAAACAAGAUUAAUCGGCAAAAGAAAACAAUGAACCAUACUACUGGUACAAAAUCUUUUGCAAGAAAGCGGCAAAGAUAUGUAUGGAUUGUACAAUUUGAAGAAAUGUUAUUUUAAAUAUUCUAUAGUUAUAAAUUUUAAUUUUAACGAGGUUAGCCUAAAAUUGUUUGUGUGAAAUUUUAUUUUUGGUAAAGCGGAAGAAGCAUGGGAAAGAAGCUGAUCCUGUAACCUUUUUUCGUGAAUGUCAUACACGAAAAAAUGAAGCUUGGAUUGAUGAAGAAUCGGAGCGUACAGGGGUAAUUUAUUUUACUGUGUUGGUAUUUCAUUAUUAUUCAAAUUUAUUAUCUAUAGCUUAUUGUUCUGUUUUAUGAUUGAAUUUUUCUUUUUAAAAAUUGUAAUGCUAGGCAACAAUGGAGAGCAAUCUGCAAACUUUGAUUCAGUCGGGGCAAGAGGAUAAUGAAGAUCUUAGGAACCAAGUGUAUGUUGACACAAUGGGUCCUGAGAGGUAUAAUAGAGUCAGAGGAUACGGUCAUGGGGUGACUCCUGAUAUGGUGUCCUAUGCAUCUUCUUCGUCUUCUACAUCAAUUUCCUCCAAGAGGUCAUCUAACAGUGCAAUGGCAUUGCUGAUGACUCAAAAUAAUGAGUUGAAAUUGAGGGACGAAAAUAACAAUAAACGGAUUUCGGACCUAGAGAACAAGCAAAGUCAGUUGUUUGCGUGGCUUUUCCAAAGAUUUCAACCACAAGCACAACCACAACCACCGUUUAGCCCGGGAACCCAACAGUCAGGCCAGAGUCAGCCUCCUCCUCCUCAACAGUCGGGUCAAAGUCAGCCGCCCCCUGCAUAUCCUUAUGCUGGCUAUAAUCAGCAACCUCCGUAUCCUAUGUAUCUGCUGCCUAUGUAGCCCACGCCAUACAUGCAGCAGCCGCCUAUGCCAUACAUGCAGCAGCCUCCCAUGCCUUACAUGCAGGAGCCGCCUUAUCAAGUGCCAGUAUAUCGACCCGAGAUGGCUGCGCCUUGUCCUGAAUUUCCAGCUGGGGGGUUUGCUGAAAUGCUUGCGGGUGUUGGAUCUGAUGUGGACUUGUCGAGGAUGUUGGCAUCAAAUAUAGGACCUCAAGGGCGAGAAGGAUCUGUGCCACGUUCAGGCGCAGAUUCGGUUCCGUAGUUUAUUUGGUUCGCUUUCUUGUCGGUUAAAUAUGACACUUUAAUCGUUCUAUCUUUUUUUUUUUUAUGUUAUGUUUGUAAUGUCGGAUUUAGUAGUUGUUAUGACGGAUGGGUUUUUGUAUAUUUUGACAUUAUUUUUAUUGUUAAUUAUUUUCAUUAAUGUAUGGACAAUAUUGUGUAUGUUGGCACUAUUUUUUUUAAUUAUUUUUUUAAUGUUUUUCUUUUGACCUUGAAAUUAAUUAAUAUAAUUAUAUAAAAUUUUUCUGUUACAAUGAAUCGAAGAAGAAUGCGAUUUGUAUGUUUUUUUUUAUUAUUAUUAACAAAGGUGGUGUCGGUUAAGACCGUUAUUCGGUUGCAUAUUUUAUUUAUUUAAUUGUUAAUUGACGUCGGUUUAUGGGAUAUUAAAUUGAUUUAAUAUUAUUUCAGUGUCAUUUAAAAGCGACAGUAGGAAUUAUAUUUUACAAUUAAAUUGCUAUUGAACGUUGCCUUAAAGCGACGUAACGUGUAAGUAUGCGUCGCUUUAAACCGACGUUAGUUUAGUGUCGCUUUAAAGCGACGCUAUGUAGUGUCGGUUUAAGCCACCAAACCGACGCUAAAGCCCUUUCGUGACGCUAGCAAUAGUGUCGCUUUGAAAAUGCGACAUUACAUUGUUUUAUGUCGCAUUUUUGCCAAAAUUGCGACAGAAAUCUGAUUUCUUGUCGGUUUUGACUCCGACGGUGAUAGCAUAUAUUGUAGUAGUGUGGGUUUCCCUCGUAUGAAGUAAUAUUCAAUGAAGUAAGCUGGGUUCCUUCUGGUAUAGGACCUGUAUGAACGAAUAUGUCAUGUUUGUAUAUGAUAUUUUAUUUUUUUUAUCCUACGGCCUACUAUGUUAUCUUCAUCUUCGGUCUCAAAAGCCUUCCUUAACUUCUCUUUAUCUAUCUCAAAUUCAUAGCAUAGUAAUAAAAACAUACUGCAAACAAUUUCACUAUGCAUUAAAAUUUAUCAACACAAUUCCUUGAGCUCUCGACAUUAUAAAUUUAUAAAUGAAAGAAAACAGGUGUUAAUGCAGAAGUCAAAAGAUAUAAAUCACUUUCAAUUGAUAGAACUAAAAGAUCACAAAAAAAACAUGGACCUAGCGUUGAUACCAUAAGAAUGUCCAAAGGCUAUUCCUGUUAACUUAGCCUGGUCUUCUCUUGGUCGAUUCUCGAUCAACUCCUCCUGCUUAACCUCAAUUAUUUCAGUUGUCACCUCAUUCCUCCCCCUCUUUUUACUGACUUUAAUCUCACUUGCACCAGCAGCGGGGAUGGCUGGCACAACAGUUCCCGACCCACCAAAUCAAUCAUUCCAAAAUUUCUCAGUCUCAAUCAAUUCAACGAACAGAAUGGCAGCACCACAUUUUCUUCGAACACCACCUGGCAUCCCACAAGUCUACAACCCUCAAUCCACCACUACCUUCAAUGUGUAGCCACCUCAACCACGGGGACCAGCCACCCAUGGUUUCAUGUAUGCAAGUGGAGUUACAACCAGCAAUGCAGCAGAAAACAAAAGUAGAAAAUGGAGAAAAAGAAUAUAGAAAGAAAAAGGGUGUCUGGAGGUGGAGAAAAGCCGAGAGGAGAAAGUGGAGAGCACGGCUGCCCACUCCAUUGUCUAAUAAAAUAAGAUCAAGAUGAACUUUAAUCAUUCAUGGCAGGGGACAAAUACAGAGUAUAAUAUAUACCCAUUAUCCCACUAUCUGGAAAAGUAUAGAGUAUGGAGUGCAAAGUGACACAACUAUUUAUAGACUGGCAUCAGUAUAAAAUUCUUCCGCAAAUUAUACAUAUACUAAAACCCAGUUCCCCGAGCACCGUUUUUCACAGUUCGUGAACAAUGAAAAGACGGUAAUACCCUCGGGUUUUCUUAGCUUUGCCCUCAUGUGUGCAGUCAAUUGCCGGUUUUACCCAUUGAUCCCAAGGGUUCUGUGUCGUUUCUUUCUCUCUUUCCAUUCAUCUCUUUCACUUUACCUUUCAGCUCUCCAUUUUUUGCUUUCCUCAACUGGGUUUUCCUUCGUCGUCGGUGUGCGCUCUGAUUUCUCUCAAUUUAUUCCUUUUCGUUUUGCGAAAUUAUGUCCGGCGAGACAUGAUCUUUGAUUUUUGCAACCAUUGUUGGCCGUUAUUCUCUGUUUUUGGCUGCCAUCCGUAGUUUGGAUCGAUUUCGUCUUUUUCACCGUUUUGUUUCAAGCCUCUCUUUUGAGAGAAUUUUUACGUAUUAAGGUUAGUGAUUUCUAAACUUAAGUUUUGCUUUGCAGUUUGAUUUCAUUUUUGGUUGUCUUGCCCAAAUGUUAGAAGCUUUUAAUUUUUUUGGGUUCAAUUUUAAAUGGGUUGUUGCUUUCGGAGUUUUCGUUUGAUGACAGAGAUGGGGGUUUUUGGGGAAAAACUUUUAAUCCGUGAGUUUUAGUUAAGUUGUGUUGUGGGUCCUGACAAAUGGAUUUUUUGUUGAAAUUGUUUUUCUUCUCAUUUUUGGUUUUUUUUAUUUUUUUUAUUUUUAUUUUUUUGUGCCAUCGGGUUUUUGCAUGUGGGUGUAUAAUCAGGUUUUCUUCUGAAUUUCAGGGGAUUCAGGUUUUUAUUUUUUUUGGAACUUUUGUAUGCAGCUUUGGAAGACAUUUACGCUUAAGGUGAGAAACUUUGGUUGCCCGCUUUUGGGUUUUGUUGUAGAAUUAAGUUUUUUUUUAUUUUUUAAAGAGUUACAUUCGUGGGAAUUCAUUUAUUCUUCUUUUUUUCUGCAUCUGGAAAAUGCAACCUGAUGUGAGUUAUAGUCAUAAGUGCAAACAAGAAAAAGUUAUAGUCUUAAGUGCAAGAAAUAUAAAGCCAAAAGAACCUAGCAACAAUAUCAUACCUUAUUUUUCAAUUUACUUAUAAGGUUUCACAUUUUUGUAAAUAUCAAGAACAAAAACCUAGAACAGCCUCACAAUUUGGUGCACUGACUAGGAAAUUGACAGUUGGGUAUAGGUAUGGGUAGUUAAAAACUAUGAGACAUGAGAAUUAUUGUCAAAUGCAAGGACAGAAGGUCGUGUAUUUGCAAAGUUGAAGCGGCCCAAGGACCGAGUGGGUUUAAGGUUUAAUGCUCAGUAGUUGUUGUGCUUCUGCUGCUUUUUAGUUGUCGAGGAUAUGCAGGGAGAGCAAAUAAAAAGAUUGUAUUCACUGUGUUGACGCAUUAUUGAACAAGAGACCCAAAAGGAAGGACAUAUUCAAUCUCAAAGUCUGUCAGCUUUCGCUUCUUAAUUUUACAACAACAACAAAGCCUUUUCCCACUAAGUGGUUAUUAAUUUUGUUUGCUCUUCGAAAGUUGAAUGCAUGAGUUUUAUAAUUUUUUUGCGAUUAGUUUACCUGAGAUGGGUUUUGGGUAAUCAUGUAUUAUUUUCUGAUUUGGUUACAGGAUGCAAAUCAUUGCUUCUUUAGAAAAGAUUAAGGAAGGUGAGCAAUUUCAGAAAAAAAAAAUGCGAUUAUCAUUUUCUAGAGAUCAUGGCAUGCCCUUCCGUUAUUUUUUGGUAGAGAUAGGUGUAACGGGCAUCUCUUACUAGUUGAUCUCUAAAGAGUGAUAGAGAUAGGUGUAACGGGGCAAGAACUUUUUGAAGUCAAGUCUUCAACUUUUGAAGUCAAGUGCAUCGUAUCUUCUACAUGCGUAAAAGAGGCUCUUGUCUAAUUGAUUCGUGAGUUAAUUUUUGAAGUCAAAUCUUCAACUUUUGAGAUGGCGUGAAAUUAGAAAUUAGACAAAUGAGCAGCACCAUAAAAGAAAAAAAAAAUUGCAUACACACAUAUAGUUUAUCUCAUGAGUUCCUUCUGUAAGGGUUUAUGAUAUUUGUAUUGACACUCUUGUAAGGUUUUAUCAUAUUUGUAUGGCCAAUUGCAAGACUAAUCAAAACUUUGUAUUUGGGUACUUCUAAAUGUGUUGGACCUUCAUGCUUGAAAUCUUCAUUAAAAUAUGUGUAAUUUGUAUUUGAAUGUAAAAUUAAACAAAAAUAAAUAAAUGUUAAUGGGUGACUCAUGAGUUUAACAGAUUGAGUUUGAGUAACUCAUUAGCUUAACGAGUUGGGUGUGGAUGACUCGUUAGUCUAAAUGGUCAAGUGAAAUCCGAUCCAAACUAAAUAAACCCGAUCCGUUUAUAGGUUACUAGCAGAUAGUAAGGGGGAUGAAAGUUUCGAACUCUCAACAGCAAAUUAAGACACUAGAGUCAUCAGAUUCAAUUCCUGCAUUGGCUUGAAGUGGAAUGGAUUUGAAGCAAGAACUUUUCAUUCGAUAUCCAAUUUCUUCAUCAUUAGGACUUUCAAACUCCAAGCAUAUAUUAAGUCAAGAUUGCGGGUGUAACGAAAUUUUUCAUGUUGGAUUUGGUCUAUGUUGCAUUUUCCAAACUGCAAGCCCUUUUUUCAUCAGAAAAGAAAUAUCUCAUUAACUCAAGAGAAAGCAAGGAAGAGAGAUACUUCCACUUGGAGGUGAGGCCCCAACCAUAGGAAAACUGUAGAAAAACGUAUUUGGCUCAAUUCUACUUUUCAUUCAUUCUCAAAUGUACAAUAUAUAUAUAUAUAUAUAUAUAGCCAAGUCCAAUAUUAGAAGUCAAAUCGUGUGAAUGGUAGAAGAUCAAUGUAUAAAAAUCAUUGUUCUAAAAAACGCCAUAGGCAGCCACCUAGGCGCUAGGCGCCUUGGAACCGAGGCGAUUUUGUGCAAAAAGGCUAGAAAAAUUGGGGUGGCUCUAGGCGGGCUAGGUGGCUGGAUGAUUUUUUUUUUUUUAAAUGUUAAAGUCUAAGUUCUAAUUAUACCUUGAAAUUUUAUUAAUUUUAUAGAAUAGGUGUGUUGUGUACCAACUUAAAUUCCGGGAUGCUAAAGAUAAGUAUCUUACAUUACUAAAUUUCCGUAUUUUCCUCCUAUUUUCCAUUUUAUGUUAUUUUAAAAUGUGAACUUAUUGUACAUGUGUCAUACUACAAUACUCCUCAAUAUGGUUAUAUGGCAUUGUAGACAUCGAAAUUUCGGUAAAUAAAUGUUGACCGAUAAAUCAAAGUUUCAACGCUCAUGUAUUACAGAAAUUUUACACGUAGCGUGUGUCUAAACAAAAAAUCGAGAAUCAUCGGAAAAGUCAUCAAACAUGACACAUGUCAACACCUGGCAGAAACGACUUAUUUCAUCUGGAAUAUUAUAUUCAAAAUUAGGCCUUGGAAAAUUCUAUAAAUAAAAGCCAAUUUCAUUCAUUUGAGGGGACCAAAAAAUCAUUAGGCAAAAUUCUUGAAGCUCUGAAGCUCUGAAACUCCGAAGCUCUCAAGUAUCCAGGUUCCCGAAGAAUCAAGAAAGCUCUCUUCGUUCUUUGUUCUUCGUUCAUCCUAAGAUCAAGCCCCAACGGCCCUUUGGAUCAACAAUCAUCCACCAAUUCAAGAUCAAGCCCCGACGGCCCUUGAAGAAAGUGUUCUUCGUUCUUCGUUCAUCCUUCUUCCAAGAUCAAGCCCCGACGACCCUUGGAUCAACAAGCCACCGUUCUUUAGGAUCAAGCCCAAAAGCCCUUGAAGAUCCGUUCAUCACUGUUCUUCAAGAUCAAGCCCAAAAGCCCCUUGAAAGAUCCGUUCAUCACUGUUAUUCAAGAUCAAGCCCAAAAGCCCUUGAAGAUCCGCUCAUCACCGUUAUUCAAGAUCAAGCCUCAAUGGUCCUUGAAGAAACACUCAUCCUCAAGAUCAAGCCCCAACGGCUCCUUGAAGAAACUUCCAACAGUUCAUCCAAAAUCAAGCCUCGACGGUCCUUGGAUCAACAAAACUAGGGGUGGAAUUUUUUCCCGAAAAUCCCGAACCGUCCCGAUCCCGUCCCGAAAUUAACCCGAAAAAUUCCCUAACCGAAUUUCCGGAAACAUUCGGUUUAGGGUUUAGGGAAUCCCGAACCGAACCGAAUAUUAUAUAUAUAUAUAUUUAUUUAUUUUUAAUUUUUAAUUAGAAAUUACUUGAACCGUUGGAUUUGUUAAAAUCUAAUCCAACCGUCCAUAGUUAGGUCAUUUGUUUGUUAGGUUAUCAGACUCUCUCAGUCGCUCUCGCUCUCUCACUUCACUGGCUCACUCACACACACUCUCACUCUCACAGUCACUCUCACCACAGUCCCCCCGCUCCACUCCUCCGUCGAAUCCACGCCGCUCAUCAUCGUCCAUCACUCCAUUGACUCACGCUGCUCCACUCCUCCGUCGAAUCCAUGCCGGUCCUCGUCAUCCAUUGACUCACGCCGCUUCUCCAUGGACUGACGCUUCUCCAUCGACUCACACACUCGAAUCCGACACCAAUCGAGUCCCAAAAUCCAGGUUAGUAGGCCUAGAAGCUUUCCCAGUUGCAUGCAAUGCUUCAUCUCUGUGCCUCGAGAAAUUUCUUCACUGAUUAGCAUAACAAAUCUCACAGAGAGAGAGAAAGAGUGGGAGUGUGUAAGAGAGAGAGAGAGAAUGAGAAUGAAUCAAUUUCGAGCAUUCCUCCUAAUCAUCUUCUUGUUUUUCUUCGUCUUCAGUAUCUGUUUAGGGCUCUAUACGGACCAUCAUUGCCAGUUCUUCAGCUAACUCCUUCCAACUUCAAGUCCAAGGUAAAUGUUGAAACUUUACCAGUAAUUGGGUGUACCAUUUUCAGAUUCUUUAGUUUUUUGCAUUAAAUCUAUUGGAAUUUGUCACCGUUUGGAUUGAAAAGCAAUUGGGCUUCAAUUUCGAACACGUUUUACUCAUUCAUAUGGAUGUUAAGUUUUAAUUUGUUUUUACUUUCUCCGGUCCAUUUUUCAUUUGGCAUGCCCUGCUAUUUGGAUGCCCUGCCAUUUUUCAUUUUUCAAUCCGGCAAAUAUUUUCAUUUUUGCAUGCCCUGCUAUUUGGCAGCAAAUAUUUUUCUCUUUCCAUGCCCUGCAACGAUUGUGAAGACUUGGUUAGUGUGUGUGAUACUUAAUUUUGGCAAUUUGAUUUUGUAUUCAGGUCAGAUUUUAAAGCAGCUAUCAGAGAUAACUAGCAGGUAGGUUCUAACUUCUAAGUUUAAACAAGAGCUCAAUAACAAACAGGUCAGAUUUUGCACUCUGUCAAUAUAUGUAAUGUGAUAUAUAUAAUGUGGUAUAUAUGUGCACUCUCUGUCAAUAUAUGUAAUGUGAUAUAUAUAAUGCGGUAUAUAUGUGCACUCUCUGUCAAUAUAUGUAAUAUGAUAUAUAUGUGCACUUUGUGAUAUAUUGUUUGUAUUGAAAAAUAUUACAUCUCAAUGACUUGAUUUUAUUUAAGUGGAUGAAAAUAACCUAAUUGUAAAUAUAAGUAGUAGUGGCACAUAAACAUUGCACCAUAUUUGAAUGAUUAACAAACACUGGGGGAAGCAUCUGCCAUCUGGGAUUAAUUUCAAGGUCACAAAAUAUCCUGUAUAUUUCCCCACAAAUGAAUAACGAUGCCAGCUGAGUUUAUAUACACUUUUAUAUAUGUGCACUCUGUCAAUAUAUGUAAUCUGAUAUACAUGUGUUUAUGGAUUAAUUUAUGGAUCAGUUUAUGGAUCAGUUUAUUUAUGGAUUAGUAUAUGAAUAUUAUAUAUAUGUUGAACUGUGUUGUGAUAUAUUAUUGUGCAUUGUCAGGAUAAAGGAAAGGAACUAAAGGAAGAGGCCAUUCAUCAACAAGUGGAAGAGGCUGAAGGGGCUAAAGGAAAGGAACUACGUUUAUAAACUAUGUUUUGGUUGCAUGCACUUUCUUGCUUAUAAACUAUUUAACUAUGUUUUUCUUUUGGUUUGUAAUUUAAUCUAAAUUCAUUCGGAAGUUUGGUUUGUAAAACUUAACUUAUUUCAUUUUGGUUGCAUGCACUUUUAAUUAACUAGUUUGUUAGACAAUUGUGAACUUAAGCUUAACUUGUUAGUUGUUGCUUCCUUGGUAUGAAAAUUGAAACAGGUAUGGUAUUGUGAAUCUGUGAUAUUGUGAUGAAUUUGAAACAGGUGGGCUCUGCAGCCUGUGCUUGUGCGGGCAGUGGCUGGUUACAACUGCCAAUUGUAACCCUUUUUUUUUUUUUUUUUUUAUUUAUGAAAAAAGGGUGGGCUUUCCCUUUAAAGGGUGGGCUUACUCUUUAAAAGCCCAACAUUUUGGGCUUCAAAUUGUAAAAAGCUUAAAAUUGUAAAAAGUUAUAAAAGCCCAACAUUUUGGGCUUCAAGGCCCAAUCCCGAAGUUUCCCGAAAAUCCCGAAACACUUUCGGGAAUCCCGAAUUUCGGGAUUCCAAUAAUUUUGGUUCGGUUUCGGGAUAUAAAAUCCCAUCCCGAAAUGUUUUGGUUUGGGAAUCAGGUUCGGGGUUUCGGUUCGGGAUCCCGACCCGAACCAGCCCUAAAUGAAACAUCCACAAAUCAACACCUUACGGAGAUCGAAUCAGAGGAUCAAAAUAGAGAGAGAUUGUAACCCAAAAUCAUCAAAUACAAAUAUUAUUUUGUGCACGUUGUUCUUGUCUCUUUCGUUUCAGGGAAAUUUCGUUUUUACAAAUUAGCACGCCCAGUGGGACAAUCUCUACCUCUCAUCUCUUUCUCCGUUCAAGAAAUUCGAGCACACUUCCAAAAUUAAUGGCAUCAAGGAAGGCUCAAACUGUUCCCGCAACUGGCGCAAAGAAUAAGAGUGUCCUCGUCGCAAGUGGUGUCACUUUAGGCAUCACGACUCGAAGCAAGGCAAGAGCUACUUCUGCCGCCUCUUUCACCUCUGCAUCAACUCUGCAAAGGGAACAAGAGCACCCAAGGCACGAGCCUUUGAUCACCUUAGCCUCACCAAGGGCACCAAGGGGCGAAAGUCCAAGGAAAUACUCUGAAUCCAUGCUCUCCGAUGCCGAUUCGAGCGGCAGUUUAGCCAUGCAAGUCAUGACCAUUGGAGCAACUUCAAUCGAUGAGCAGUUGGCUCAAAUGAAUGAAGCAAUCGCAAGGCUAACCUGAACUGUGGAAGAAAAAGACUUGCAAAUCGCUGCACUCGUCAGCCGACUGGAGCCACAGGACGGCGAGAACCCUAACCUAGAAAAUGAGCCUACGGUGGAGAGAAUCGAUGCGAAGCCAGAGCCAGACCAAGCAGCGGCACUUAUGGGAUCUCUUUCUAUCCAACAGCUGCAAGAGAUGAUCACCAACACCAUCAAGACACAGUACGAAGGGAGCUCAAAUACCUCCGGGUUGUACUCGAAGCCGUAUUCAAAGAAGAUCGACGCCUUAAGGAUGCCGAGGGGUUAUCAACCGCCAAAGUUCAUGCAAUUUGAUGGAAAAGGAAACCCGAAACAACACGUUGCCCACUUUGUUGAAACUUGCAACAACGCAGGGACCGAAGGGGACUACCUCGUCAAGCAGUUUGUGCGCUCGUUGAAAGGAAACACCUUUGAGUGGUACACGGACCUAGAGCUUGAGUCCAUCAACAGCUGGGAGCAAUUGGAGCAGGAAUUCCUCAACCGCUUCUACAACACUCGCCGCACUGUGAGCAUGCUAGAGCUAACAAGCACAAAGCAAUGGAAAGAUGAGCCGGUAUUGACUACAUCAACAGAUGGCGCACUCUAAGCCUCGACUGCAAAGACAGGCUCUCGAAGACUUCUUCAAUCGAGAUGUGUGUCCAAGGUAUACAAUGGGGUUUGCAAUACAUCCUUCAAGGCAUUAAACCACGGACCUUCGAAGAGCUAGCCACCCGCGCCCAUGACAUGGAGUUAAGCAUCGCUCAUCAUGGGAAGAAAUAACCGAUCUCUGACUACAAGAUUGACAAAGUUCUUAAGACAAAGGUGGAGAAGGCUGCGUGUAAAUCCACCAAGGAAGCAAUGACGGUCAACACAACUCCCGUCAAAAUCCUUACACGAGGCAAGGCUAUUCAAACCGAAGCUUUUCAUGAUCAAGAGAUGCGUAGACGCAAUUUGAAGGAGCUUGAGGAGAAGACUUAUCCAUUCCUCGACUCUGAUGUGGUUGCCAUGCUGGAUGACUUGUUGGACAAGAAGGUGAUCGGUUUGCCUGAGUGCAAACGGCCGGAAGAGAUGAAUCGUACCGACAGUCUAAGAUACUGUAAAUUCCACCGCUUCAUCAGUCAUCCGACAGAAAAAUGCUUCGUGCUGAAAGAUCUCAUCAUGAAGCUGGCUCAGAAAGGAAUCAUCGAGCUAGAUCUUGACGAUGUUGUGAAGUCAAACUAUACCACCAUCACUUCUGGCUAUUCCAACUCAAGGUUUUUACCUCAACCGCUGGGGGCAUCCUCCAAGACAAGCAAAGUUAAAGGAUGGACUCAAGUCACUCCUAAAAAAUUGCACAAGAAGCAUACGUCUCCUCCACAAGUCCGCCAAUCGGAAAGGGGGCAAAGCAACUCUUGUCAACCUUCAAAGCAACAUGAACGUGUUGAAGAUGAUGAAAUUUCGACACAUAGAUCGUCUAUCCCCAUCACGAUGCGCGAUUUCUUUCCUGAAGACUUCUUCAAUCACUCUGUCAAGACUCCUUGCUAUGAAAAUUGCAAGGAAAGCCUCUCCAGGAUCGUUUAACAAAUUCACAAUGCUCCUUGUCCGCACGAGCCUAAACUGUAGGACACGAAGCUCCUCGCCUGCACGAGCCUAAACUGCAUGGCACAACGCUCCUUGUUCGCAUGAGCAUAAAAAGCGACAACAAAUGCUCCUGGUCUGCAUGAGCAUAAAAGGCGACAACCAACGCUCCUUGCCUGCACGAGCUAAAACUGCAAACGGCACCAAAUUCUCCUUGCCUGCACGAGUUAAAACUGCAAACGGCACAAAAAGAAAAUACCCAAAAAAAUAUGUAUGCAUUUGAACUACGUUAUGACUUGAUUUCUUCUUUGGAAGGGUACGUAGGCAACUCGAACGUUCAACUUCGAGUACAGUCAUGUCAAAACAAAAAAAAAUAAAUUAAUUAAUUAAUUAAGGUCUUAUUAAAUGCUUGACUAUUGAGAGUCAAUUUUAUUACAAAUUAAAAAAAACAAUAUUCUUUGUAUUAAAAAAAAAAAUAUAUAUAUAUAUAUAUAUAUGUAUGUAUACAUGAUAAAGUGGGUCUUCUUGCACUUAAGACCCGUGCCAAAUCAAAGAAACACAAGUUGGAGUCCACAGAAAGAAGCAGCCCAAAUCCAAGCCCAAGCCUUCCUCCAUUUCACAGAGUCCAUGCUAGAUGAAGCUUUUGAAAAUGGGUGUGCAGAGAGAUUCGAAGCUCGACCUCAUCACUCACAACCGCUUCCAUCCCUGCCUUCACUCUCGCACCCAUUCCAUCAAUCCGGUUUUCUUUCAAGUCGGCAUCGAGAUCCUUCGUAGUUCCCUUACUCAUCGCCCAGUCUCUCUGCCAUCUCCCGCAGCACCGCGAAGCCGCUCGUCGACCCAAGAGACGAUGGCUUCCGACUCAAAGUCUGCUUCAUACUCGACCUUCCUUUCAAUUUUCUUCAUCCCCUCCAUUGAAGAAGCAGCAGCCAUGCCGCUGCCAGAGGCGUUGAAGUCCAACGACGAUUUGGACUCUCCUGUGAUUUCGCACCUGUAAAACCUUUCAUGGAGCUCCGUCUCCCACCACAGUCGGGGCUUUGGAUCCAUAGUCUCCUUAGCCAACUCCAACCUCUCGCCAACUCCGGCCGCGAUCCGAAGUCGAUGAUCGUUCAGAUUCUCGAGCAAAAGGAGGGGCUAAGCAGUUUGUAUAAAGAAGCAAUGGAUGCAUCGAGGUUGCUGGUGGUUUAAAGGGUUUCAAACCAGAAGGUCCCCAUGGAUGGUUUUCUCAACAGAAGCAAUUCGAUGAUUCGGCAUCGUUUCUCUCAGCCCUUCGAAACCAUAAACCCAAACUCCACCUGCUACACAUGGUGUGCACGCCCAUGUUCAACAAUCUUGUCCCGCCGCUUUCAACGUAUCGCAAGAGUUUUACAACGCCACUCCCACCUAUGCUCUGACCUUGCAUGCUGCACUUGAUUGGCGUUAUGCACUUGCUCAUGCUGGUGCCGUACGACGUCGUCAACUCGCCAAAGACAUCGAAAUUUCGGUAAAUAAAUGUUGACCGAUAAAUCAAAGUUUCAACGCUCAUGUAUUACAUAAAUUUUACACGUAGCGUGUGUCUAAACAAAAAAUUGAGAAUCAUCGGAAAAGUCAUCAAACAUGACACAUGUCAACACCUGGCAGAAACGACUUAUUUCAUCUGGAAUAUUAUAUUCAAAAUUAGGCCUUGAAAAAUUCUAUAAAUAAAAGCCAAUUUCAUUCAUUUGAGGGGACCAAAAAAUCAUUAGGCAAAACUCUUGAAGCUUUGAAGCUCUGAAACUCCGAAGCUCUCAAGUAUCCAGGUUCCCGAAGAAUCAAGAAAGCUCUCUUCGUUCUUCGUUCUUCGUUCAUCGUUCAUCCUAAGAUCAAGCCCCAACGGCCCUUUGGAUCAACAAUCAUCCACCUAUUCAAGAUCAAGCCCCGACGGCCCUUGAAGAAAGUGUUCUUCGUUCUUCGUUCAUCCUUCUUCCAAGAUCAAGCCCCGACGGCCCUUGAAUCAACAAGCCACCGUUCUUCAGGAUCAAGCCCAAAAGCCCUUGAAGAUCCGUUCAUCACUGUUCUUCAAGAUCAAGCCCAAAAGCCCCUUGAAAGAUCCGUUCAUCACUGUUAUUCAAGAUCAAGCCCAAAAGCCCUUGAAGAUCCACUCAUCACCGUUAUUCAAGAUCAAGCCUCAACGACCCUUGAAGAAACACUCAUCCUCAAGAUCAACCCCCAACGGCUCCUUGAAGAAACUUCCAAUAGUUCAUCCAAAAUCAAGCCUCGACGGUCCUUGGAUCAACAAGCCACCGUUCUUCAAGAUCAAGCCCAAAAGCCUUUGAAGAUCCGUUCAUCAUUGUUCUUCAAGAUCAAGCCCAAAAGCCCCUUGAAAGAUCCGUUCAUCACUGUUAUUCAAGAUCAAGCCCAAAAGCCCUUGAAGAUCCACUCAUCACCGUUAUUUAAGAUCAAGCCUCAACGGCCCUUGAAGAAACACUCAUCCUCAAGAUCAAGCCCCAACGGCUCCUUGAAGAAACUUCUAACAGUUCAUCCAAAAUCAAGCCUCGAUGGUCCUUGGAUCAACGAAACAUCCACAAAUCAACACCUUACGGAGAUCGAAUCAGAGGAUCAAAAUAGAGAGAGAUUGUAACCCAAAAUCAUCAAAUACAAAUAUUAUUUUGUGCACGUUGUUCUUGUCGCUUUCGUUUUAGGAAAAUUUCGUGUUUACAGGCAUAUAUGCUUAAUGUGUUUUUAAAUUUUGGACUUGUUGGAUACUCUUUUUGCAUUUUAUCAUUCUUUUAUUAUCUUAUCCAUAGAUUUCAUACAAGUAUAAUUUUUUGUAAGUGUCAAUAUGCACUUAUUUACAAGAUAUACAAGAAAAUUACCUAAAUCCGCAUAGGCCGCCUAGCCGCCUAGGCGCUAGGCGCUAGCCCACAUCUCGACUAGCGCCUAGCGUUUUUUAGAAUCUUGAUAAAAAUUAACAAGUGUGUGUAGGAAGUAAAGUGGGAUGUGUGAAUUACAUUGGGAGAAAUUAGAUUCACAUCCUUCUUUUUGCUACUCCAUUGGUUAAAACAUUAUUCCUUUUUAAUUUUUAAUCAAGGUCUUUGGAUAUUAAUAAUAUCAUUAAUUAUUUCAAUAAUAAUUUUUUUAAAUAUAUUCCUUUAGUGUUAAAAAUGUUACAAUUAAUAUAUUUAUAUUUAUGGUUAAAAUUUUUAUCAUAUAUUUUUAUUUUUAGUUUGUAACCAGUUUUAAUUUGCAAACCUUUUUCAAUUUGUACCAAUUUUCUUUUCAGUUUCAAUUUGUACCCAUAUAUUAAUUUCUUUUUGUGCCCAUAUUUUUUAAUGCUUUAUUUGUAUUUGUGUCCAUUUGUUUACCAUCAUGUGACAUUGUAUAAUUAAUCAAUGAUAGAAAAAAAGGAAAAUUAAUGAAAAUGGUUUGAAAACUUUGAGUUUUAACGAUAAGGACAAAAUAAAGGGUAAAGCGAAUAAUAUCAUGAUUGACUUUUUAGUGAAAAAAUAUGGUUUUUCGUUAAAGUGAACAGUACCGGAAGCUUUUCGUUAAAGUUUCGUAGAAAAAAUUACAUAUGUUAUAUUUAUGUUUUAUGUUUUAUGACAUAACUAUUUGUAGACAGGCAUCAAUAUAAAAUUAUUCUGCAAUAUAAUUUCUAAAAAGUGAUAGAGACGAGUGUAAAGGGAACAAGUGCAUCGCAUUUCUUCUACAUGCGUAAGAAGAGAUGCUCUUGAUUAAUUGAUUCAUGAGUUAACUUUUGAAGUCGUCUUCAACUUUUGAAAUUGUGUGAAAUCAGAAGUUAGAAAAAUGAGCAGCACCGUACAAGAAACAAGGCUUGAUGACGCAGCACUAGUGUAGAAGGAUUAAAAAUAUAAAUCCUUGAAGAAACAAAGUUUUUGGAACCCACCAGUUUGAUAGAAACUCUAAAAAGAUAAUUUGAUUAAUUGAUGAGUUGGUGAUUACACACCCAUGACUUAAAUAAGUCAUUUACAACAUUUUUGGACAACUCAAAAGGCUUAGAGAAUUAAAACGAAAGUAAAUGACAUUAAUCCAACGACAAUUGAAAAGUCUGAAACUUAUUACAAACUUUAAUUUUUGGUUUUGGAAGCCUAAUUCCUCUUAAACACGACGGGCUCAUGAUAUCAUUCCUCUUGUUCUACUCGCGAUUCUCUUCAAAACGAUAUAUUAUAUGCCUAAUUAUGACACCGGAAUAUUUCUUGUUGUCGUUUAUGUCGUCAUAUUUAUUGAAUUCAAUAUUUUCCAAUUUUAUUUCUUCUUCUCUUGAAACAUUUUAUUUUAUUUAUAUUUCUUGAUAGGAAGUGACUCAUAUCUUGUCUUACAUCACUUGACUUGACCUCAACCAUUUGAUCUUCGACCUCAAGAUCCAGAAUAAUGGAGUGUGUAAAAAAUAAAUAAAUAAAGGGAAGAGAAAAAGAAGUACAAACCGGUUACAAAACUCUGCUAAAAUUGCUACAUAACGCAAAAUGACUACAUCUUAUCAAAAACUUAACACCAGCCAAGUUACAUGGUGUAUUUAUAAAGACCCAAUUCUUAACAAACAUGAAAGCAAUCGUAAACCCUCCUAAAUAAUAGGAAAGUAACCUAAGAUCAUGUGGCACAGAAGGAUUUGAGAGUAGUAUAGAUUGACUGAAUAGUACUCCUUUUCUUAAAGUCGACAAGACUGAACAAAUAAUGAAUGCAACCAAAUAUAGUAAUUAGGUUUUAAUUCGACCGGUGGAGUGGAUACUGGUCUAUGUGUGGAACUUGUGCUUUGUUUUUGGUCUAUGUUGAUUUUUUCAAACUGCAAGUUCUUUUCUCAUCAGAAAAGAAAUAUCUCAUUACUCAUCCCCAACUACAGAUGUCUCUAGGAAGUGUAGGUAUUCUUGUUGACGUCAAAUAGGAGAGAAACGGCAUUCACUAGUCUUACUUGGUUGAUAUGACUCUUCGACACUUGGUACACCCGAUUCUUCUACACUUAAUGGAUUUCUGUUUAAGAAGUUGAGGUUCCACCAUAAUAUCGUAGUAGUCACAUGCACUCCACGUCGCUCCGUUGUUUGUCCAUAUGUUAGGCUUGAAAUUUUUUCCGCAAAAAACAGAAGAAAAAAAAAGUUAAUUUUUGCAUAUAUGUAACACAUUUAUAGUUGAUCUCAUGAGUUCCUUCCGUAAGGGUUUAUGAUAUUUGUAUUGACACUCUUGUAAGGUUUUAUCAUAUUUAUAUGGCUAAUUGCAAGACUUAUCAACUUCACAUUUGGGUACUUCUAAAUGUGUUGGACCUUCAUGCUUGAAAUCUUGAUUCAAAAAUAUGUAAUUUGUAUUGGAAUGAAAAAUUAAACAAAAAAAAAAAAAACAAUGUUAAUGGGUGACUCAUGAGCUUAACAGGUUAAGUUUGGAUGACUUAUUAGCUUAACGAGUCGGGGAUGACUCAUUAGCUUAACGGGUCAGGUGAAACAUGACCUAAACCCAAUAAACCGAACCCGUUUACAGGUUACCAGUAGAUAGUAAAGGGGAUGAGAGUUUCAGACUCUCAGCAUCAAAUUAUUAGUCAUCAGUUUCAAUUCCUGCAUUGGCUUGAAGUGCAAUGGAUUUGAGGCCCGAAAUUUUUAUUCGAUACCCAAUUUCUUCAUCAUUUUAGGACUUUCAAACUCCUAACAUCUAUUAAGUCAAGAGUGCGGUGUAACGAAAUUUAUCAUGUUGGAUUUAGUCUAUGUUGCAUUUUUCAAACUACAAGUCCUUUUCUUGAGAAAAGGAAUAUCUCAUUAACUCAAGAGAAAGCAAGGAAGAGGAGAAAUACUUCGAGUUGGAGUUGAGGCUCCAAACAUAGGAAAACUGUAGAAAAACGUAUUUGACUCAAUUGUACUUUUCAUUCAUUCUCAAACUGUAGAAAAACGUAUUUACUCUUUUAUAUAAUGAGCCUAAUGCUGAAACGUUAAUGAAUCCAUGUAGAAGAUUUAAUAAGCCUAAUUGUUCAUUGAACCUAAUUAACUAACAUUCCCUCUCAAGUUAGAGAGUGAAGAUCCACAACUCCCAACUUCCGUAUCAUAAUCGAAAAUUUUAAAUUUCGUCAGGUAAAAGCUUAAGCAUUGAAAACUUACUUUUACCUGACGAAACGGUUUCGUCUAAAAUGGUGUUUUCUUGUAGUGAUAUCAAGUAACUCCAUAACAAUAAUCUUUUGAAUUUUUGCACUCUUAGCUAUGUAUGGAAGUACAAAGUGACACAACUAUUUAUAGACGGGUAAUGCUUGACAAAGGAAUACGUAUAGGGUGGACUAAUAUAUAUAAAAUAUAUAUGUGUGUGUCCAUAAAUUCCUUACCACAUCAACCUUGACCCAUUGGAAUCUAUAAAUUUGAAUCUAAAUUCCCAUGGCUAAACCAAAUUCUUUACAAACACUUAUCAGCUGCUAAUUAUUAAACUGACCAACUAUGAUUAGUGUGAUGAGCUGAAGGAUACAAAAUAUGUGUUAUAUAAUUAUGGUUGUUUAGUAAAACUAUAACACAGCUAAUGUUUCUCUCGCCUAUCUUUUCUCACAAUCUAAUAAGUGGACUAAAUGAUUUAAGCAGUUAGUGAAAGAACAUAUGUAGCUUGUAAUUUGACUAAUUUACCCAUGUUCGGAGAAAUUUCACAGGCCUUUGUAAGAUUUCACUUUAACAAAGAGAGCUCCAAUAACCUUCUAAAACAUUUAAGCAAAGCACAUAUCACAAAAAAUGAACCUGAAUGGGGAAGAUCAUCAUAAGCUAAUAUGGACCAUGUAUAAAAGAGAUAAAUAGGAAUUAAGGAUGUGUGAAUGGAUACCAAGCAACUAAAAAGCUUCUAAUGGGUCUUUUCCUUCAAAUAAUGAUUGAUAAGAAACAACCAUUCUUCAUGAGGAAGCAGGUAAUGUAUUGUGCACCCUAAUCUAUUGUCCUAACAACCAUAAUACAUAGAAAUUUGUGGUGCUCCACUGCACGUAUGCAGCAGGCUUUUAAGCAUAUCAAUAUUUGCAUAAGAAGAACCAACAAACAGAGAGACGAAACACCUAAAUUUAGAACGAUUGGUUUUAGGGUGGAAUUCUAAUUUUUUUCAUGGUACAGAGCAUGUCGUCCCACGUGUGAAGCCAAAUGGCCACACGCAUUUCACGUUAUCCUGUUGUGUGUUCACGUGUUAGGCUUGAAAAUUCACCACACAUGAAAGAGUGUGUUGAGAAUGAGUUCCACGUCAAUGAGAGGAGGGACCUUGCAUGAGCUUAUAGGAAAUUAAGUUAUUCCUCGUAUUACCAAUUGAUUUUAUAGUAAAACCUCACAUUUUUUUCAAAAUGAAAGCUUAACAAAAAAAAAAAAAGGGAUAAAAAACACCUAAAUUUACAGAGAUAAUUUAAAACAUGUAAAUAAGAAAUUGAAAAGUAAUCUGCAAUUUGGUUUCUUCAGAAGCAAUGAGAAAAAGAAAACGGGAGAAUGAGACCAACACAGAGAAGAAAACAUCCUUUUUACCCCUAAGUUGUGCGCGACGUCCUACUUCCUUCCCUUCUUCGUUUUGGCAGCCUUCCCCUUCAUUCCUUUCAUUCUUCGUAUUUUCUCCCCCGCGCUGUCUCACUUUCAGAGUCUGUAAGACUCACUCACGACUCAGCAGCUGUUCAGCCUGACUUGUGCCUCAUCUCAGCCUCACUCAGUCCUUCCUCGACGUCGACCACUCGCCCACCUCACACACCCUCGCGGCCCACAAGCUUCCUCUCGCCGUUUCGAGUCUCGACAGCCCACCGUGAUUCCUCGAUUCCAAAAGGUUAGUCUUUGUGCUGGAUUAAAAUUUGGAUCCACAACUAUAGUUGGUCUUUCUGCUGAUUAAAAUUUGGGUCACAACUGUGUUUUUUACGAUUAGGGAUUUGAAUUGGAAACCUUAUCUGUCAUUUCUGCUUUGACAGUUUUGUUUCUCUAUUUGUAAAUAUGAAUUCAUCACGCAAAAACACAAAAUGGUUUUGUUAUUUCCCAUUAAUUUUCUUGUUAAAAUAUGUCAAUAAUAUGAAGAGAGUUUUAAUGAAAAAUAUGUGGUACCGUUUACUUUAAUGAAAAAUUACAUUUUUACAUUAAAAAAUCAAAUAUAGAACUAUUCACUUUACCUUUUAUUUUGUUCUUAAUGUUAAAACUCAAAAUUUUCAAACCAUUUUUAUUAAUUUUCUUAAUAUGAAAGGUUUUGUUAUUCGCCAAUGUGGGACUUUCGCCUUCACCUCUUCACGUGUACCAAUCACUUGUUUUUUCCCCAUUAAUUUUCUUGUUAAAAUAUGUGAAUAAUUUUGAAAAAUGGUACAUAAAAGUACUCUUAUAAAGUUAUAAUAUCCUUCACAUGAAAAGGUUUUUUUGCAAGAAUAAAAGGUUUAUUGUCCUUUGCACGACAAAAGAGAAAUUAAGUCACAAUGAGCAAGAAAAUUAUUGAGAAGAAUAUAUAAGAUAGAUAUUUAUAUUAAUGAUAACAUUAUUAUUUCAUCAAUGAUGUAACACAAGUUUUAGGGCUAACAACUUUGAUGUUUUCUGUUUCUGCGCUUCAAGUCCACCAGCCCUUUUGCAUUUGUUGCCUAUUGCACAACUGAUGUAUUCAGUUUACAAGUUGUUCCUACAAAACCAGUUCCCUUGUAAUCAACGAUUCUCAUUCAUUCCCUCCGAUGAUUGGAACAAAAUGUAGUACAAAUUUCGUAGCUCUGGUUUUAGAAUUUUAGACAAUUCUUGCUAUAAACAUUACUCUUAAAUAAGUAUUCUUAGUUACUAAGGCAUAGGAAAGUUUCGAUUUCAUUUGAUUGAAAAGAUUGUCUCCAAUUAAUCGAAUGAAUAAGAAUCCUUUCAAAUGAACAUAGCUGCUUUCAUUCUAAUUUUAGAAAAUCCAAAUCCAUGAAAACAUGCAGCACUCUACUACCUUUAUUUACAUUACUUUCUAUCUCCAUUUAGUUGUUAAAGAAGCCCGACAGUACAAGCAAAUUGAUAUAACUUAAAAACAAUAUGAUAUAUAGGGCUGAGUCUUGAACUUGAACAACACAAUCAACUAAAAGCUAAAAAGCACCAAUACCUUCUAUCUUUUUUUCUUUAAAGAAACCUCGACGGUACGAGGGAAAAUUAUUUGAAUAAAAAAAAAAGUUACACCUAGUCUGGGGGACAUAAACCUUACCCUUCAAAAUAAAGAAACCGAAAGUACAAGAAAAUAGGAGGGACAUACACUUACAUAACCUGACACAAACUUAUAACUAAACAUAUAGAAAGUGAAGAAAAGAAACCACAACAGAGAAAACAAACGACAACAAGAAAUGCGUAACGGUAACAAACUGAAUUUCUACUUCCCCCACUAGUACUCUAAAUUUUCCUUAUCAUUUGCCUGAUCAUUCCAACAAUCUUAAGAAACAAGUCGGGCCUCCUUGUGAUCACAACAUCCGCAAGAACUACUCCCACUACCAACCCACUUCCACAUCCGGCCGAAACAAUUUUCCAAUCCAAUUCAAAUAUGCCUUCUGAGCUAGAAUCACCUUCGUCGAUGGUUGAAGGUGGAAGUUCAGGGGCCUUAGGAUCUCCACAUUUCUUUGGCAAUGGAUCUCCACACAACCCUGGGUUUCCCUCGUAUGAAGUGACAUUCAAAGAAGUAAGCUGGGUUCCUUGUGGUAUAGAACCUGUGAGAUUGUUGUGAGACACAUUGAAACUGGAAAGAAAAUUAAGUUGCACCAGCUGUUGGGGGAUACGUCCUGAGAGCUUGUUUUGUGAAAGGUCCAACGAUUCAAGCUUCAUCAAGUUUCCAAAGGAUGAUGGGAUAGAACCAGUGAGAAAGUUGUGGGAUAGAUUCAGCGAACGAAGCUCCUUAAGAUUCCCGAUGAAUUCUGGAAUUUUCCCUUCAAAUUUGUUGC